UUUUUUUUCCUUUUUUGUUCGUAAUACCUCUGAAAACAACGAAAAGGCCAAAAAAUGUGGAAAAUUGCAAAAUUUGUUAGACUAUUAUGUGGGAUAAAUCUAGAGCUUUAUUAGCACCUACAUCAUUAAAAACUUCCAUCUCAAAUAAGUAAAAGAAUACAAGACAUGCUAUAGAAUUACAAAAGGAUAAAAAAAAUACAAAGAUUGAGAAUGGACGUCUGGCUCUCGGCCUCCAUGGAGGCCUUUUUUUGAAAAUAAAUCAAAAUUCAAACUAUUUGGUUUAAUUUUUUUUGAAAAAGUAUGCAAGUAAACAAGAAUGUUAUGUGUAUGUGGGUAAAAUUUCAGGAUGAAAAACGUUGAAAUGCGACCUGUACAAAAAUGACAAAUUCAUGGCCCGGGAGGAUGAAUAGUAUCAUGUGUUAAAAAGCCCUAGAUUUGUCAUUUUUGCACAGGCCUCAUUUCAACGUAUUUUGUCCUGAAAAUUUACACACAUAUGUGUUAUGCCUUCAUGUAUAUCUGUGUUUUUUUAGAAUUUUUUAAAAUGCAGAAAAUAUGAAAUUUGAUGAAAUUCAAAUUUUCCAAAACCGAGCUCCAUGGAGCUCGGCCUCCAAAGACAAUAUUCAACAAAGACUACACUAUAUAACACUACUAAUACUCAGAUCCAAGCACUAAAAUACGCAUGCACGGCAAAAAAUUUGAACAUAUUAGAGUAUUAUAGAUAUUUAUAUAGGACAUAUAUUUAUAUAUUUCAAAAAAAUAAACGGGCCGUGCCGUGCCGGCCCGCGUGCCCAGCCUCCAGGCCCAGGCACGGCCCAUGGCGUGCCGCAUGCCGGGCCUGGCCCGUUUAGCCUGGGUCGUGCCGUGCCAGCGUGCUACCGGGCCGGCACAGUUAGCACGGCCCGUUUGGCCGUGGCAUUUGUCCCAGACUUCGUGCGUUGUGCGUUGGAGUUGGCCCUAGUCUCCGGUUUCCGUUUCCGGUUCCACCCCGAGUUCCGCCUCCGGUCUCUCCUCCGCCGGCGCAGGAUGGCGGCGGCCGCGGGCACAUCGAGGCAGGCGGGCGCGGCGCCCAGGGUGGGGCUGCUGUACGACCAGCGGAUGCUGAAGCACGCGCCUGCCGGGAAGAAAGAACGGGAGACCCCCGAGCGGCUACGCGCCAUCUGGCGCAAGCUCGCCGCCGAGGGCGUCACGUCCAGGUACGCGCCGCCAGCGACUCUCUCAAGCGAGAGCAGCGCCANNNNNNNNNNNNNNNNNNNNNNNNNNNNNNNNNNNNNNNNNNNNNNNNNNNNNNNNNNNNNNNNNNNNNNNNNNNNNNNNNNNNNNNNNNNNNNNNNNNNNNNNNNNNNNNNNNNNNNNNNNNNNNNNNNNNNNNNNNNNNNNNNNNNNNNNNNNNNNNNNNNNNNNNNNNNNNNNNNNNNNNNNNNNNNNNNNNNNNNNNNNNNNNNNNNNNNNNNNNNNNNNNNNNNNNNNNNNNNNNNNNNNNNNNNNNNNNNNNNNNNNNNNNNNNNNNNNNNNNNNNNNNNNNNNNNNNNNNNNNNNNNNNNNNNNNNNNNNNNNNNNNNNNNNNNNNNNNNNNNNNNNNNNNNNNAUGGGAAGUCCUCGCGCGCUCCCGCUGUGCUUGAUCUGUUUCCUGUUACGACUGUAAAUCUGCACGAUUAUGUUUUGGUUAUCUGAUGAAGCGCCCGAAAUGGUGAAGGGCCUGAGAAAGGGGGGAGAGUAUAUAGAUCCUUCAUACAAUAGGUUCAAACAUGUAUGCCAUGUAGCGCUGAAAGGAACAGUCCUGCUAUUUCUGCAAUUUGGGGCACUCCAGUCCUUCCUCGUGUGCAGUAACUUGGACUGUCCAUUGCUUGCAUUACUUUGAUUGAUUAGAUUGAUAAUUGUAUGACUUUUGCAAGGUUCUGUGGCUUUAGUGUGACAUAAGUUUCUUCAGAUAAUAGGUUCAAACAUGUAUGCACAGUAGCGCUGAAAAGGUAUAGAGUCCUGGUAUUUCUGCAGUUCUGGGUACUCAAGCCGUUGCCUGUGCACAGUAACCUGGAUGCUACUAGAGUUAAGUUUGAACAUUGGCAUUAUGGCUUCUGUGCUGCCCACUGUUUGCAUUAUAGGUUCAAACAUUUAUGCACUGCAUAUCUGAAAGGAACAGCGUCCUUCUGGUAUUUCUGCAAUUUGGGGCACUCCAGCCCUUCCUUGUGGUACAGUAUCUCGGAUCCCUGCAGGCGUCGAUUUAAAGAGGAACUGCAGUGGCUCAGGCUCACCUACAGGGCCAAAAGGAAGGAGUAUAGUGGCCUGAUUGAUUGGGUCAAAGCUUUCAGAUGAACUUAGUUCUGCCUUCAUUGUACCUUUUGUAUUUUCUGUUCCUUGUUUGUUUUCACUAGGCCUGUGUAGCUCUUUUAUUUUAUUUCUGAACUUUGUUUUGUACUCCCUCCAUCCCACAAUAUAAGAUCGUUUUUCAAGCUGGACAAGGGAGUAACAUUUAUUUGAAAAACAAUAAAAAUACACAGCAGAGUCCUGCUGUUUCCUUAAGAAAAGGUAACUUGUAUGCCACUAGAGUGAAGUUUGAACAUCGGCAUUGUAGCUUCUGUGCCGUCCAUUGCUUGCAUUACUUUGAUUGAUUAGAUUCAUAAUUGUAUGACUUUGCAAGGUUCUGUGGCUGUAGUGUAACAUAAGUUUCUUGCAGGUGUGUGGGCAUGAGGGCGAAGGAAGCCAAGGAAAAAUAUAUAGCCUCUGUCCAUGGCCCGAAUCACAUAGAUCUGAUAAGGAAUAUCAGCUCGAAGGAUAGUUCCGAGCGAAAAAAUACUGCUGAGAAACUCGAUUCCAUUUACUUCAACAAAGGCUCCUCAGAGUCUGCUUUCCUCGCAGCCGGUUCUGUCAUCGAGGUAAUUUCCGUUUACUUUUCCUACAUUGCAUAUGUAUUCACUAGUCUUAUACAGCAAUUCUGGUUCCGUUGAUCCUGAGUGCUGACAAAAUGACUCGUUUGGCAAGUAGGUUGCUGAGAAGGUUGCAGCUGGUGAGCUGAGUUCUGCGAUCGCUCUAGUCAGGCCUCCAGGCCACCAUGCCGAACAUAGCAAGCCCAUGGGAUUUUGCCUCUUCAACAAUGUGGCAAUUGCAGCUAACUACCUCUUAAAUGAAAGGGUGCGUAUUUGAAACUUCCCUGUUGAAUGUUCUGUUAAGAUCAAUACGUGCUGUUUUUGUUUAUCAUUUCCUCUGUAGGAACAAUCAUAUCAAUUUGCUAUGAUGUGACCUACUGAGAACAUGGAGUCAUUUUCUGAGUUCCCUUUUUCUGUUGCAGCCUGACCUAGGUAUCAGCAAGAUAUUAAUCGUCGAUUGGGAUGUUCAUCAUGGAAAUGGCACGCAGAACAUGUUUUAUAAUGACCCUCGUGUAUUGUUCUUUUCAGUGCACAGGUAUGACACAAUAACUUGGCGUUGCUUUGCUAUUUUUGUUUAGACUUCAGACUUUGCUUCCGCAAACAUGCAAACCACUGUAUGUAUACGCAUUAGAUAUAAAGAAAACAUGCAAACCACUGUAUGUAUACGCAUUAGAUAUAAAGAAGAAGUCUUAGUUGAGACUUUAGACUAGCUUCAUAACCUUCAUGAUAUGAUAUUCGUGAAGCCGUGGUAGUUUUGUUGCCUACAUUUUUAUGGCUUACUGCUUUUUGAAUGGAUGUAGGAUGCUGAGAGCGUUUUCUUACAGUGGAUCUCUGCAGUUCAUAGAAAUUUAGAAACUCCAUUUCUUAUUUACAUGGUAUUAACAAACUCAUUUUUGAUAUUUGUGAGCUCACCUUACUAUAAUGCUCUUGGAUAUUGUACCUGUAAUGAUCGGGAUUAAGUCUCAGUUUUGUUGAUCCAGUUGGGCUGUAUAGCACGACCUAAAUGCUUGAGCCCAGUUUGUGAUUAAUGUGCCAUGGAACCUAUUAACUAUUAAUCCGUUGUCAAUGGAAGAACCUAUUAACUAUUAAUCCUUUUUCUGUUUCAUCAUGGUUUUACCAUUUUACUUCCUAUGUUGACACUACUAGUAUUGAAAUAGCCUGAAUUAUCUGUUCUAAACUUCUAAUCAACAUAGUAUGGUUACUUUAUUUGUCAUUUGAAUUGUCACCUGCCCACCCUUGAUUUUGGUUAUAGUAUAUUAAUCAAUUCAUUGUGUUUACUUUCUAUUGCUAUCUGAGUUUAGUCUCCCAUGCAUCUGCAGGGCUAGAUACUACGGUUCAUGUUUACAUUAGAAAGAGAUGUUUGUAAUGCAACUUCAGUGCUUAUGUUUGAAAACUGAGUUGUACUUGUUAUACAACUCUUGCUCUAAUAUGUUUGAUUUAUCUGCACUGCUAUAGUCUGGAGCAUCCAAAAUACAUGAUGUUGAUAUUUAUUCUUUCUUUCUCCGAUAUAUGUGAAAAGUUCUAGCCUCCCAGAUCCAACGCCGAAACUUCUUCUAACAUUGUUCUAGCUAGUGUCAAAAAACGUCUUACAUUAUGGGACGGAGGGAGUAGUAGGUAGGUACCUGAGGAAAGCUGCUGUUCUAACCGCUUAUCAUUUAAGUUUACAUACAUGUUACCUUGGCUGAUGAAUCUACAGAUUGUGUAACUUGCCAUCUUUGGUAAAGGCCUCUCCUAGAACUACCCAACCAAUUCUGAUCGAAAUCUCAAUUUUUUGCAGUUGUUCCAUUGCAUUCUGUUGAUCCUUCAGUAAUGUGUAAACUAUUAUUCCAAUGUUUGCUCUGUAGAUAUGAUGAUGGAAGCUUCUACCCUUAUGAAGCUGAUGCAUCACACGUUUUCAUUGGGGAUGAAACUGGUCGAGGGUACAACAUUAAUGUGCCCUGGGAGCAUGCGGAAUGCGGUGAUGCAGAUUAUGUUGCUGCAUGGGACCAUGUACUCCUUCCUGUUGCAGAAGCAUUUGAUCCUGAUAUAAUAUUACUGUCUGCUGGGUUUGACGCAGGUAGACAGCUAGAAAAUUCUUAGAAACUAUCUUGUCCCUAAAAUUUAAACAUCUAACUAAUCUAGGCACUUCAAAUGAAGCCUGACUGUUGCUAUAUACCGGCAUUGUAGUUUAUUCUAUGUACUAGAUGUGCACUGUUCGAGUACUACUCCUUAUAUACCUGAUUUCCUUUUUGCGUGACAAAUGAGAUCUUCACUGAAGAUAUUUUGACAACCGCUGUGGCUUUGUUGUAUUAUAUUGCUAUUACAUGCCAAUGGAAUCAAAACUUCUGUGUCUCAUAUGAUCAUGCAUGUUCUUGUUACUCACUGGUUUUGAAUAUUUUCCCUGUUUCUUUUUUGCUAGCACUGGGUGAUGAUAUGGGUAAUUGCUGCAUCACUCCAAAUGGAUAUGCACUGCUACUGACAAAGGUAUGCAUUUGCACGUUUGCAGCAAAAUGACCUUUUAUUAAACUCACUGAACCAUGCGCUCUCCUGGCCUUAAAAACAUUUUUCAUUCUUGACCUUGGAGUUUGGAUGUGAUAGAGUAGCGUUUAUGUUAUUGCCACGGUCAUUCAUUUUUGUUGUCAUGCUUUGGUGUUACCUGUUAGAAAAUUUUCAUUUGAUCCCAUCAAUUUAUUAGUAUCUCCUAUAACUUUUUUGGACUUUCUACUCAGCUGAUCGAUGCUUAUGCCUGUCUACAUUUUACCUGCAGCUGUUAGGUUUUGCAAAAGGAAGGAUUGUGAUGGCCCUUGAAGGAGGUUAUAACCCUGAGUCCAUAGCAAACUCAGUUUGUGCUUGUGCAAAAGUAUUGUUGGGAGAUAAAUUCACACUUACCUCUCCAGAGAUGCAACCAUUCGAAUCUACAUGGAGAGUCAUACAAAUGGUAAUGGUCUGCAGUGUACUAUUUCUGUCUAAUUUUGGUCUCGCUAUGCGUAUCUGUAAUUUAGUUCUCAUUCCCCCUCACACUGACCAGGUACGCGAUGAAUUAAAGACAUACUGGCCUGUUUUGAGCAGUAAGCUUCCGGAGAACGUAUCUUUGAGGAGUACGCCCUCAUAUAUCCAGGUGAGUUUCCUCUUUCUAUUUUCUUCUUCUUGGGGACUUGAGUUGGGGCCUGCUUGGUCUGACCUCUGACUAAUGAAUUGUGCUCUUAUGUCUGAGAUGUGGAUCGCUCUGUUCCAGAUCCGUUUGCUGGGAAACUUGACACCAUCUUCUCUUACUUUUCACCAACAUGUCAUGACCACAGUUGCAGCUUUCAAACCACAUUCUUAAUGGACGAUUUUCUUUUUUUUCCAGGGUUAUAAUGAAGCACCAUAAUGUAGCCCAAUUUCAUAGAUGAAUGCAUGUUCACGAGUGAUGUGGACUGUAUUACACAGCUCAGUUGAUAUGCUAUUUCCAUAUUAUCCGCACUUCCGCAGGCAAUCCAUACUUGAUGAACCUUUUUUUGUUGUUGUGAUCAAUGCUUCAUGUGUAUACUUAUUCUGAGGUGCCUAUCAACUUUUAAACUCUUAACUCUUGCAAAAGAACAUGCAGAGUUAUACAGCUCAACUAUGUUUGUACUGUGCACUUUAAUUAUCUUGUGCCAAUAGUCUCACAUUUGAUUUACUCCCUCCGUCCCAAAAUAAGUGUCUCAACUUUAGUACAACUUUGUACUAAAGCUAGUACAAAGUUGAGACACUUAUUUUGGGAUGGAGGGAGUACCAUUUAUGCAUCUUGAUGCAUGCAGGCUUACUGUAUAGCUGAGACGAUCAAUAGGAAAUAUUAACCUGAUGGUGGAGCCCUUGAAUAAUUUCUCUUUCUUGUUUUCCCCAUUGGGGAAUGAACAGCCAUGCACUUCCUCUGGUUCUGAGUGAUGUUUUGAGUAUGAUAUGCUUGGAGAUCCGCAUUGUCAAAAGUUCAAUAUUUGGUAUGCCAGCUUUGGUUCAAACAUGUGGAAACCAAGAUUCUUGUGCUACAUCGAAGGGGGUAAGGUAAAGUUGAAAUCACAUUGUCUUUUAUAUAUGGCAAGGAACAUUUAGGUUCCUCUAUUUAAAGCUUGUAGCCUGUCGCUGCAUUCAUCACAUCAUUGAUUUCUCGGGGAGAUUUCAGUCGGUGCACCCCUUUCAGUUAAUGUAACUCAAAUCACUUAUGGAGGGUACUUUUGUACCUUCCGCACAAAUCGGGAAUAAAUAUCUGUCCACUUCAUGCAUUAGUCUGUUACGCACCGGUGUAUCAAUUCAAUUGGGGAAGCUACUGCCCGGAACAAUAGCAGCUCACGCUUGCUCCACGAUGUUUGAACAAACCUUAUCUAGUCCAUGGCUCUUCAUGCCUUCCUCGCUGCUCCUCUUAGUUUGUUUGAUCUGGCACUAUGAAUCACAGACGUCGACCUGGGGAUCGGUGUCUAUGAGUGCAAAGCUUCACGAACAUUCGCUAGCAAUGACCAAAGAGAUUGAGGGCCUAUUUGAUUCGCAGGAUUUUCAAAACAAGGGAAUAGGAAAACACAGGAUUGUAAUGUCAUGUUCAUCUCAAUCCUACAGGAUUUUGGGUUGUUUGAUUGCAUCAUAGGAAAGACAAAUUAUUCUUUCAAAGAGGUUUGAGUGGAUGGUAUAAAUCCUAUGGGAAGUAGUACAAAUAAAUCCUUACGAAAAAUUCCUAUAGUAUUCAAUCCUAUGAAUCAAACAAACAACAUCGGAAAAAUUCCUAAGGAUUCUAAUCCUCCAAAAUUCCUAUGAAAAUCCCUUGAAUCAAAGGAGCCCUGAACUGACUGUGGCCCCUUGCUUUAUCCUUCACUCCUGCUUCUAUAAGGGGAGAGGAGGGGGGCAAGCGUGAUGUAAGGAGAUGCGGACGGGCUGAGAUGAGGUUGGGCCUGAAGGUGGGCUGUGUGGGUUGCACCAUGCUCAGUAUCCCUCGUCGAGGUGGAGGGACUAUGGGCUCUGGGCGAAAUCUUUGGCCGGCGGGGGGGCGGUACCGGCGGCGGAGGCAUCCUAGGCAUCUUUAUCCUCCUUGGAGGCGUUGCCGAAGAGUUCAUCCAGACACCAGAUCAUUGUGGCUGGUACUAGGUUCCGGUGGCUAUUGGCGUGGCUGGAUCCCCUCCCACGGGGUUCAGUGGGGUGGUGGUGUGCAGAGCUCUUGGCAAAAGCUUUGUCCCGACGGAGGCGUUAUCGAAGUGCUUCUUCACUCCUACCUCGGGUCGCUUUGGCCCUCGAUCGAUUGGUUUGUGUUUGGUGGUGGUGCCUAGUUUUGCUUGGGGCUGUUUGUACUCUUUGUUGGGGUUUUUGCUCGGUUGUCCCCUAAUCAACCAUGUUGUGUGGUUUCUGGCCUAGUUUUCCCUAUAAACCGGGCCAACUCUCUUCUUAAUGAAAUAGCAGGAGCACCCUGCCCUCUGACGAGGUUCCGUAAAAAAAAGUAUCCAACCACAUGAAAUAGACUACAUCACCCUUUAUGGCGUGGUAAAUGACUCGUUGUAAUCCCCACCAUUUAUCCACAUGAAUAGUUUUCUAAAGGGGUUGUACCAAAGGAAUCCUUUUUGGGGGAUAUUUUGGUCUUCGGGAAGUGUUUUUAGUGCUUUCCGCAAAUGUAAAUUCCGCAACAAGACCUGUGUUGCGGAAAUAAUUCCGCAACAAGACCUGUGUUGCAGUAUGGAGGCGCGUUCGGCCGUGUGAUGCGGUAAUCCGACGGCUCGUGACCCGGCUGAUCUUGACGCGUAGCACACCCCUUAUUCUAACUUACCUUUUCCUUUUCUGAAGUGUUAUGCUUUGUGUGAAAGUUGCUAUUCAUUUUGGUCUGUGGCAGGUUGAUGGUAUGGGUGUAUCAUGUUUUGGUUCACAUGACACAAGCCCACGAAGAGGCACCAUGUGGAAAAUGUGUGUCAUACAUUUUUUUCAGGAGAUCCUCUAUCCCCUGUGGGGUACUGGUGGUGUUGCUUUCCUCAACCCUGAUAUAAACUACAGUGACAAGUCAAUGUCUGCAUGUACAAAAUAAUGUAUGUUAUAUCAUAACCACAUCUACGUUUUAUUGAUCCUUGAAUUAGGUCUGGGUGGAACAUAAUCUCUCGUCAGUGCUCUGAUUUCAUCAUGAAUUUCUCUUUUUUACAGGCUUGAGCAGUUCAAUUACACGUUGUUUCAAGAGAACUGUUUAGUGAAGGAUAUCGGCGAAGAUGGAAAAAUCAAGUCUCCUGGCUCUCCUUUGAUUCGCUUGUCUGAAAGACUCUGCCUCUUCACAAAAAACUCUUCAUCUUGAACCUAUUAAGGUUGGAUUUGCUGGUUUCCACAUCAAGCGCACGCUUAUCCUCCACAUAGAAUUUUCUAUAUGCCUAUAAAUAAAUGAGAGUAGUUAAUAUCACGUCGUUGGAAAAAAAUGCUCUUAAGUGCGACUGUCCUUCUGGCAGCACUUUGAUAAAGGACACUACCAACCUCUUGUGUGGCCAUCACUGGUAGAAUCUAUCAUUCUUACAGAUUAACGUUAAUGCCUGCUGUAAUAGUUGAUCCUUUGGUAAGGAAAUGCCAUGUCCUGCCUCUUUUGUCUGUCGGGUUGGUCUGAAGUUAGAAGUUACCUGGGACUGAUGCUUAGUCCAGAUCGCAGUUUGGAAUGUUACCAUGGAUUUGAAGCUCUUUUGACAUCAUCACAACAGUCGAAAAAGGUCUUGUUUCAGUACAUUACAAACUGAAAAGGAUAAACUAUUUUUCUUCUCAUAAUGCCGCUUCAUCCAUAGCAAUAUAGUUGACACUAGUUGAUUUUCUAAAUAAAUCUGAUGCUAGUUAUAUUUUCAUAUCAAUGGAUCAUUUCUGCAAGUUAUUAUUUUUUAUUUUUCAUGUUUGUUAUGCAAAUUUCCUACAGGAUAUCUGGUACUCCACGUGUAAAACCAACAUACUCUAUCUUGAGAGGAGGAUGACGUCCAAUUUUAACUAUGACGUAAGCUCCAGUCUUCACUUGGUAAAGAAAUUUCUUGUAGAUACUAUCCAAUGCACUACUUGAAGGGAAGCGGUAAGAACACAGAUGAAGAUAUGUUUUUUCGUGGAUGGUGUGAAAUUGUUUGUUUCCCUGCAGAUAGAUGCCCCUCAACAGCUGUUGCACAGGGGGAUCCCCCUCACCUAUGCUGUUCAACAUUGCUGUAGAUGUUUCGCAGGAAUUAAUUCAUAGGGCUAAGAGAGCUGGGUUGAUUUGAGGGGUAGUUCCUUGUCUAGUAGAGGGAGGCAUUAAUAUGUUACAAUAUGUUGAUGGCACAGUACUUUUAUUAAGAGCUGACAAGAAGAGGCCAAAGUGUUAAAGAACAUUUGAUGCUUAGUUAAGCAUCUUUCUGGUCUAAAGAUUAAUUUUAAUAAGAGCGAGCUUUAUUGUUUAUGAGAGGCUAGUGAUCACAUUAAAAUAUGUAGAGAAUUUUUUACUUGUGUAGCUGGUAGCUUCCUUGGGCAUCCCUGUGCAUAGUGUUAAGCUUAUGAAUAGUGAUUGGGAAGGAGUGGAGGACAAGAUGGAAGGGAAACUAGGAGCCUGGCAAGGAAGAAUGAUCUCUUAUGGUCCUAGAUUAAUUUUGCUGAAAUCCUGUUUGAGUAGUAUACCUUACUUUAUGAUGUCUAUGUUUACUAUUCCUAAAGAUCCUCUGCAUAGAGUAGAAUAUUUUAUGAAAAGACUUCUAUGGCAGGAUAGUGGUGAAUCUGACAAGUAGUACAAUUUAGUGAAGUGGGAAAAGGUUUGCCAACCUAUUCAUUGGGGUAGAGGGUCUGGGAGUAGUUGAUUUAGCUGUAAUGAAUAUGUGUCUUUUGAGUAAAUGGUUAUGGAAAAUAGAAAAUGAGGAAGGUAUGUGGCAAGAUAUUAUUAGAAGUAAAUAUUGUAAUAAAGAGUCCUAGUCAGCAUUAAGAGAAAACCUACUCAGUCUCAUUUUAUGAGUGGCAUCUUAGACUAGAAAAGAGUAUUACAAAUUUUGUAGGAAGCGAGUGGGGGAUGGCAAAACUACUAGACUUUUGGGAAGACUCUUGAUUAGGUAAUGUUCCACUGUGUAGUAAGUUCCAUAGAUUGUAUAAUGCUAACACCAGUUUUAAUAUUACUGUAGCAGAGGUGAUUGGGGGUUGGAUAAUGUCAAAUUUAGGAGGAGGUUGGGUGAUUUGGCUGAGCAGCAUUUGCAAUAUCUCUGUGAGGACGUGGUUCAAAGUGAGGAGAGAGAUAAGUGCGUGUGGACUUUAACUACAUGUGGUGAAUUUACCAUUAGAUCAAUGUACCUGAUGAUCAAAGCUUUGCAAGUUAGAUGUCGUUUUAGAAAAUUAUGGUUUAUUAAAGUACCUCUUAAGAUUACAGUUAUCUUGUGGUUGAUGUUUAAGAAUAGUAUAUUAUUGACUAAAGAUAACUUGAGAAAAAAGAGGUUUGGUGGGAGAUGAGAGGUGUCGAUUUUGUGAGGCUAAAGAAUCUGUGGAUCACCUCUUUAUUCACUGUUCUUUGGCAAAAUAUGUAUGGGGAGCAGUUAGUUGUGCUUUGGGGGUAUCCAUGAAUUUAGACACUGCACAAGAUAUUUCUCUGUGGAUCAUGAGAUUUCCUGGUAAGACGAGAGGACUAAUGGCUGCAGGGGUAGCAGCGGUGAUUAGGGGCUUAGGGCAAUUUGGAAGGUAGGAAUAAUGCAUAUAUGCUUUAGAGGUAUUUAUCCGCAUGAUCCGAGCAGCGUUAUUACUCAAGUUUCUCACUGGUUGGAACACUGGGCUGGUUUGCAGAAGCGAGGGGGUCCGAGAAUUACAAGCCAGAGGAGCAAGACUAUUGUUGCAGGUUGCAGCUGAGAUGUACAGCCAAAAGAGAGGGUGGGCGCCAGUGGUGCUGCGAAUAGCUGGAUGAAGGAGUUAUCUGGGAGCUUUUGAUUACUCGGCUGGGUUGUGUGUUUGGUUCUGCUUUUGGCUGUUGUUGCGCAAUCCUGCAAUGCAGCGGUUAGAGCCUAGAAGAAGUGAGCGGUGGUGUGCGGUUUGUUCUACUGGAGCCUUUGAUAGUGCAGGUAUAGUGGUUUUUAGAUUGGGUUUUAUAGUACUGAGUAUAUGUUAUUUUGUUAGAUGGUGCUGUUAUGUAUGAUGGAAUCUGAUCGUUGGUCGAUCCAAGUUACCCUGCUGUAUUGUCAUUGCUGCUUCCCUUCCACGAGUCCCUUGAUCGAUCUGUACUAGGACGCUUCCUAGUUUGAUUCGGAAUUAGGAGAGUAGAGGCCUCGUUGGAUCUGACCGACUAUUUUCGUUUGGAGUUUGCGCUGGUUUGAUCACUGAGAAAGUUCCAUGUAUAUAUUGAGCAGGUUUGAACAUGUCAAUCUCUCAAGUCUCACACAGCACGGACCCAACCCAAAGUGUUGGUCCGUCUUGGACAUUUCAGUGUCGUUCCUCCGUCAUCUUACAGUGCUGUGCACCUAGGGCUCGCGCUGUUGAAGGUACUGUGUCACCCAUGCGGAAGUUUUGAAUGUGUAUGUGUAUGAACAUGAUGUAUGCAAUGAUACGACAGGGGGCUCUCUGCUGGCUGUCCUAUCCCAAGAUUUAUCAUGUCAUGUAUCAUCGGCACGGAACAAUUUUAAGCGACGCACAUCAGGACACUCUCAUCCUAUGCUACUUGUAGACACAUUUUACUGUCAAAGGCGUGCACCGGAGAGGCCACAUGUGCGCAUUGGAGUGACGACAUGGUCACUUAGAUCCACGUAGUCUGCUUGAUCGGUCUAGGCCACAUGCGCGCAUUGGAGAUAAAAUUGAUUAAAACAAAUCGAUAUAGAUGGAAACUAGAUGUUUGGUUAAUGUCNNNNNNNNNNNNNNNNNNNNNNNNNNNNNNNNNNNNNNNNNNNNNNNNNNNNNNNNNNNNNNNNNNNNNNNNNNNNNNNNNNNNNNNNNNNNNNNNNNNNNNNNNNNNNNNNNNNNNNNNNNNNNNNNNNNNNNNNNNNNNNNNNNNNNNNNNNNNNNNNNNNNNNNNNNNNNNNNNNNNNNNNNNNNNNNNNNNNNNNNNNNNNNNNNNNNNNNNNNNNNNNNNNNNNNNNNNNNNNNNNNNNNNNNNNNNNNNNNNNNNNNNNNNNNNNNNNNNNNNNNNNNNNNNNNNNNNNNNNNNNNNNNNNNNNNNNNNNNNNNNNNNNNNNNNNNNNNNNNNNNNNNNNNNNNNNNNNNNNNNNNNNNNCAAAAAGGAAAGAAAAAAAUGAGAGAACCCACUAGAAGGAGGAAAGAAGAAAAAUACUAGUCGUGAAAAUUAAAAGGGGAAGGAAAAAAAUCAGAGAACCCGCUAGGAGGAAAGAAGAAAAAUACUAGUCGCGAAAAUUAAAAGGGGAAGGAAAAAAAAAUCAAAGAACCCGCUAGAAGAAGGAAAGAAGAAAAAAUAAACACAAAAAGGAAAGGAAAAAAAAUAAAAAAUCCGCUAGAAGGAGGGCUCGAACCUCCGACCUUGUGGUUAACAGCCACACGCUCUAGCCAACUGAGCUAUUCCAGCUUGGUGGCAAAGAACAGAACUCUCUCUAGAUAAUCAAUACGUUCCUAAUAGACACAAGGAGCCAGCACCGAAUCACCAUGAGUUAGUGGCCUAGGAAGCAAGCGACGAUAUUUCUCUCUCUUUAAACUAGACGAAUCGUGCAUCAGUAAGAAUAGGAAACCACCUUGACCUGAUCGCGCUUCCAUGUCCAACUCACCGAACAGUUUCGUGUCCAUCACAUGCCAAGGGUAAAGAGCUUGCCCAUAUGUUGCAAAAUUCCUAGUGAUUUACUACAGGACAUGGUAUAUUCUCCUAGGAUUGGUUGGUGUGUCCGUUGAGCUCAGCAUUGGUUUCAACCUGCCGAGACCCUGAGACAGGCCCCCAAUAAAAACAGGUGAUGGGACUACUUGUCCUGGGAUGUGUUACCGGGAGGAGGAGCAGUUGAACUGAUGCAAUCAACACCAGUAGGAUGUCACUCUGGAUUGUAACACUUGACACGUACUAUAAGAUUUGGUGCACCUACAACACAACCUUGAUCUAGCCAACAAUGUAACCACUUCAGCUCACCAAUUCUCAGCUCUGCAUCUACACAACCUUGAGUCUUUAUAGAGAUUUCACUAUGAACUACAUAGUGAGCAAAAUGAGUGAAUCUACACUUUAAAAGGUUUAGGGUUUAGUGGAAUCUCUCCAAAGACUUAUAUUUGGUAACGGGGAGAGGGAGUACAUUCAUACAUCAUCCAAAUGAAGAUUACCUAAGCCACUGAACGUGAAAGAAAGAUGAACGGAGCGUGUAUUUUGGGCACAGCGUCAUCAGGAGGCCAAACCGGCAAACAAAGCAAGCAACGAGUAAAAUUGCAAGGUUUCAACUUCCAACACUGGCAGCGGUACAGAAACAGCAGCAUAAGUCAAAUGCAAGGUUCCAACUUUCCAAACCAAGGUAAGGUACAGAGACAACAGAUACACUCCCAGCAUCAACCGCCCUCACUUUGGGGCAUUCAUGAUGCAUCACAACAGUAUCCCCCGUCUUUCGGGGUUUCCCCGCUGGCGGCGGGCAUACUGCACUACAAAUACAUAAAUAUGAAAAACAUACACAUCACCGAGAUUACGGACAGACGGCACCGACACAGACAGGCUCACAUCUUUAGAGGCCUACUUCUUCCAAGCACCAGGUCCUUUCUGGGGGAAAUGCACCACCAACCAACAGCUUGCGCUUUCAUGGACGACGGACGGAACAGAUCAUUGUGAAAACAUCUUCCACAACUUACAGGGAUGAUAUUUACUAAAAAGAACCACAGAGCAACCACAACCAUGUUCCAAAGCAGAUCAGGCGUCUUCCGUCUUGCACAGGUCCAGCAGUGACAGUGUCUGCAAAAUUGAGAUGAGAAUGUUCAGUCCACCUGUCUUGCUCAAGCAUCUAUUAUCGUGGCAGCUGGAGUAAGGUAUAUAUACCUCUGCUAUGGAGAGCUCGAGGCGGAAUUUAGGACCAUCAUAGUGGUGCAGCACUGGCCUAAAAGCAUCCUCUUCCAAGGCCUUGCAAAGCCUUCUAAUGCGGAUCCUCACCUGAUAUGAUGAUGAAUAUGUCAGAUCAUGAAAAACAAGCCUGAUAAUAAACAUAUGUCAACCUUGGAAAUUAAUUACCUGUGCUGGGAAUCUGGAUUCACCUUUGCACUUCUUAUCUUCCCAAGCGGUGGGAUCAAUGUUUGAUCCUCCAAAACUAGCAGCCUGAGACACAAGAAAAUCUGAUUAGAAUGCUGAAGAACAAGCACUAUAAUUUGUGCUAGAGUUCAACCAAGACGCAUGUGCAUUUGAAAUGGAACUUUGAGAACAGGUACGCUUCUAAUUUCAGCCAGGCAAAACCGGAAGGGCCACAGAAGCACGUUUGGCUAAUAGGAACGUAACAUCAGGAGAAUGUUGGCUUAGAAGCACAGGAAUAAAUUUGGUAACCUACCAUGUUUUAUUACAGCUAGAAGAAAGAAGAACAUGAAAGUUCAAGUUCUUGAUUACAUAUGGUAGAGUAUCUACACCGCCAAAAUGGCAUUUCCUAUUUAAUUCAGUUCCAAGAAAACACUAGCUAAAACUUUUCAUCUAAAAGGAAAUUCAGAAACAGCACACGAAACUAUCCAUGCAAAUGAUAUAAGCAUUUAUGUAUGACAAAUACAACUGUUACAAUGUAUUCAUGAAGAGGCUUGCAGUUCCAUUCAAAUAAGGAGGCUCGUAGUUAUCAGCAAAUGAAACAAUCACACACCUCAAACACCCCAUGUAGCUGAUGGGUCGUGUAGUUGUAGAGGAAAAGAGGUAGACCAGGAGUGAUGGCUCGGACUGAAUCACGAUAUCUUGCUGGCAAGCCUGCAGAACAGAACAAACCAUGAGUAACAGAGUAACUUACAUAUAAUUGUGUGAGAUGGUAUGUGAAAUGAUUUACAAGGAUACAUAGUAGGCAUACCAAAAAGCUGUCUCUUGAGAUCCUCCUGCAUGGUAUCAUUGUUGCAGACAAAGAUGUAUCCACCAAGAACUUCAUUCCUUGGUAGCAUCUCGCUUGUUGGUAAUGUUUUGAAGCGCUUGUCAACAGAGUUGUUGUUGCUGUUGCCUCCAUUGUUGUUGUUACCACCAUUGUGUUUGCCGUUUGCUUCCUUCCCAUUCUGAUUAUUCGGAUAUUUGUUGACCCCGACAUUCAUCUUGAAUGAAUUGACAUUACCGUUGUUUCCCUUGGGGUACAUGGGGUUCAUGUUAUAGGCCAUGUUGCGGAAAGGGUACUUCAUGGCAGCCUCGUUCAUCUUGAGAUCGUUCAUCUUAAGAUCCAGGUUCAUGAGGCCAAGAUUGAGGUGGUCCAUCUUGUUGUCUUCUUGGUGGUAGGAUUGCUUAUCCCAUUGCUUCACAUCAGGGACGGUGUUCAUCCUUGCAUACUCAAAGUCAUUCAUCCUCUCAGCCUUUGACUUUGUGAUCUCAGCCAGCUUUGAUGUCAUGAGAGACCAUUGGCGGUCCUCCACCACCUUUGAUUGCCCACGGAACUCAUCUCCGAGAUGCCACAAGUUGUCCAUAGCUCAGUUCAAGCUCUCUGCACGCAAGAAAGGAUUAACAUAUAUCAGGUGACAAACAACACUUGUAAAAUAUCCUGCUUACGAAAAUAAAUGCACCAUAGGACAUAAUGAUAUUGGAGCAACAUAUCUCCAAUACAACACAAAAAUUACAAAUAACUUCAUGCAUGUUGUAAUUCUAUUCUAAGAAACUAAUUUUUUUCAGAGCUGCUAUCUAACUUUAGAAUCAGACUAGACCGCUACUUCAGGAAACAAAAUGCUGAGCUACAAACCUAUAUUUACACCUCAACGAGCAAUAAAACUGAACCCAACCGAAAUCAGUGAGAGAACUUUUUGACAAUCAAUAAUAGCCCACCAAGAAUAGUGCAUCAAGGCGGGCAAGUUUCGACAGCAACAACAAGCUGCCAGAAUACGCUGUCCCCUUCCGUCCACGCUCUAGCCCUAUAUCCUGUUGUACUUCUCCCAUGAACACAAUCCCUACUCCUCGCUUUCUGAUCCCGCGCUGGUGCGCUUACCAUCGCUCAACUAUGAUCAUACAAACUCUCUACAAAACAAAUGGAAGUAACACCGACCAUUUCAAUUCAUGUUCAUGACAACUUUCAACUUAAACCAAGCUUCAUAAUACCGUAAAUCUAUCUUCCAACCGCACAAAAUUAAAAAUUCUAUAGACCAAUUCGUCACCCAGAAGGACGCCAAAUCACAACUAUCAUCUAGAUCUAUGGGAACUUUGAACCGAAUUUUACGGAACGCUACUCCCCAUGCCCAGAUCUGCCACCCCUUCCCAUCCGUGGCGGGGCAAGGAGGCACCCUGGAGUCCAGGAAGGGGGCUCAGGAGUGCCACUCGCCAGGACGGCGAGGCGCGCGGCGGAGGAUCGAGACCGUGGCCGCAACGGGAGCGCCGCGUGAGGCGAACCGGGCGAGGCCAGGCGGGUGCGGCGGCGCUACCGAACACGCGAGAGGUGAGAAACGGGGAAAGCGGAUGGCGCCGUCGGAUGCUACGAAACGGAACGAAAUACCAAGGCGAAUCUGGCGGAACCACCGGCGCCCCUACCCAACGACCGCGCCAAAAUCGACCGCCGAAACGCCGGCGAGAUCGCAUUUCGGGGCCUUACAAGCAAGGAGAUCGGAGAGGAGCCUCAUACCUGCUCGAUUCGGCGCCGGAUUCCGGCGGGGAGGGCGCUGGAUUUGGGGGCGAAUCGGGAACGAACUGCUGCGAGGAGGAGAGGAGUCGGCUCGGCUGGCUUGGCGUUGGCUCCCACUUCGCUCCGCCCACACGGAGUCCACCGGUCAGAGAGAUUGGAGAGGGUGAGGGAGGUGAGCUGUCCUGCCGGAUUUAUAGGAGAGUGGGGGCGGAAAGAGGCCCCGGGUUGCGGGUUAUUUACCCGGUGUGCCACUGGUGGGGCAGGGGGGCGGUCAUUUGUUUGCUUUGGUUGGUGGUCGGCCUCGAUGGUUGUUGCUCCGGUUGAGCGGAUGCCGUUUGUAGAACCCGUUAGAAAAUGCCAGAAGGUUGUAGCUAGGAGUAGGAGUAUAUUCUGCAAGUGUUUGAUAGAUCAUGCUCAGCUGCUUACAUAUAUGCAGAUUUGUUUUUCUUAUUGCGAAGGAAUCCCUGGAUUUCAAUGGGCCAUAUGAAUAUAUGAUUGACGUGAAGAAGAUUUCGGUCAUUAUGGUGGAUUCGGUUGCGUGUAUGUUUGUGUGUUUUGUGUGUUGUUUAAAAUGUUGUAUGUCCACGGUAGUCGAUGGCCGACAUGGCUAAGGUGGGGAACCAACUCUCGGUGAGGCGGCGAAGAACCAUCUCUCUCUGUGUUACAAGACUCAAAAGCGUAAUUAUUGAUGAGAACCACCACUUUGCGUUUCGUCAAGACUCAAGUCACCCCAUUCUCGCGUUUACCAACACGUGGCGGCUUCGAUAAGAACUCUACGAGAUUCUAGAUUUCUCCAUGGUUGUGGUCAAUUGUAUACGGAAGAUGCUUGUAGCGCACGCUUGCGAUGUCGUGUAGCUCGGUGGCGUGUGUGGGUUGUGUCUUCUAGCAAUGAAAAGCGAAGAUAAGGAAGUAGGUGGUAGGUGCCGCCGUAACGCUUAGUCGGUCGUCUAGAAACGAACGCCAACAUCGCUUGAUGGAUAGAGAUUGAGGAAGUGGAGCUAACGUCGGUUAGAUAGAGAUCCCGAGACCAGGACAUCGUCACGAGAUAGAUAGAGGCACCGCCCUGAGUGAGUAUACACUAGAAAACAAAGAUCACCAAGAGAAGAAAAGGAAAAGAGAUAGACGUGAUCAAGAUAGAUGGAUAGAUAGAUAGGAUUGUCGUAUACCCUUUCAUGACACGUUUGGCCGCAGAGGAUACGGAGGUCUUCUCGAUCUCCACCGACAAUUAUCCUUUUUUAUCACGAUCAUUCUUCAUCAUCUCGCCUUUGAUCCUCUAAGUGCCACAUAUGCCUCAUCCUUCCCUCGUGUGACCUCUUUUCCUCCUGUAGGUCACCACCUUUACACUAGUCACCUUUACCAGGUGGAUGAGGACGAAUCAUGAAAUAAGGUGAAAGGUAGAAACAUGACGAGAAGGAGGGGGGAGUAAGAGUUUCGCCGAAGAGGUGCUGAGCCGCUGACAUUGUAUUUAUCAUCCCUCUUUUGUCUUGGGGCCCAUACCGUAAGCCUCGACUGCUCAGUGGAACUUCAUCACAGAAUGUUCGAGUGUGGCCAUUUAGCAUCCACAAAAUUCCGAGCAUUUUGUAUAGGAUUGGUGUGGAACACUAUAAACAUAGUGUAAUGUUUAAUUAGAAGUAAUGUCAAGAUUUAACCCCUAAGGACAUGCUUUAUGAGGCUUCUCGUAAUUUGGUUGAUUGAUCUUCCAUCUUUACACGCGGAGAGGGCAGUAGUUUCGAAGAAAAAAAAGGUUUACUCCACUCCUUUUUACUUUUCAAAAAAAAUAUUAACUAGUCAGAAGAAAAAACAAAAAAGGAAUUCCAUGAAUUGUAUUUUUAUUGAUCAAUUAGGAUUGACUUCUAGAAUGUAUAAUUGUCUAAAAAGGGCCAAUAUACAAAGUUUCCAAGGAAUUACUGUACUCAUAUUCCCUUUAGGUGUCCGGGAUUACUAUCCUCCUCCUUUUAUCCCGACGUUAAAGCAGGUCUUGUUGAAGUGUAGAGGGUCAUACACCUACCAAUUUACCAAAUAAUUAUUGUAUAAAACUCAAUGUCGUAGCAAAGAGAAGGAGAGGCGGUUUGCCAUCUGGGUCACUGCUGCCAUAACCGUUUAGUCAGUCAUCAAAGGCCAGCAUAACCGGAUAAAUAGAGGCCCCACACACGAGUAAAUGUAGAUUAGAAAACAAAGAUUUUCAAGAGAAGAAAUGAAAAUAGUAGACAUUAUCACAAUAUAUAGUAUUGAAGUAGUGGCUCUAAUCCUACUUAAGGAACCACCCCUAUCCUACAUGGCAUGCCACGUAGAUGAUCAACAAGAGUCAAAUCUAGUUCAUACUCAAUACUAGUCAAGGCAGUCAAUAAUAGUCCAAGCCCCUCCCCCCUCAUGGGUCAAAGCAAGCCCUCCCGGUCAACAAAAGUCCAAGCAAGACUUCUUGGUCAAUAAAUCAGAGGAAGAUGACCUCAUAAAAGAAUAAGUUAAAGCUGAAUGCAAAGAGAACAAAGAAAGCCCAAGGUCAACGUAGACACACUUCUCCAUGGAGUAGGAACUAUCCACUCAACGGGCUAUAACCCACCUCCUAGCCCAAUAAGGGGCACAUGGGCCUAGAUAAUUAGCUAGUUCUAUUGUGCCACCUCCUCACUUCAAGGGUAGCCUUGGUCGUCUAUCAAGCACCCCUGGGCUAUACAAGUCCCCCAUGACCGUGUAACUCACUCAAUCUCACUUGAAUAGACUCAAUAGGAGGGUCACUCACCCUUCCAGGCCCCUUUAGGAGGGUAAAAGAAGAGCAAGACUAAAAAAAUCUGAGGGGACAUAUAAGGCCCUGACUAGUCGGGAGUCAUGGGACUCCGGAAGCACUGGCACUCUAAGUAUUUUUGUGCGCUGAGCACCACUCUCGAUGACCCUUCAAUAGAAUGUAGGUCAUGCUCCCACGAGAUGACUGAACCUAUUUAAAACAAUGUUGUGUCACCUUGUCGAAUGCAUGACAACCUUCACUAUAAGGCUGUCAUACACGCCUCGCCUACUCAUCACUAACCACGUUGCUAUGGAGACCCCUAGCCGACAGUUGAUUCUUGAACAUCAACUAAUAGAUAUGUAAAUAGAUAAGAGUAUCAUACGCCCAUUAGGGCACGUUUGGUUGGAUGGUAUAGUGAAGUCUUCUCAAUCCCCACCAACAAUUGUCCAUUUUAUCAUGAUCCUUCUGCAACAUCUUGCAUUUGUUCAUCUUAAGUGUCACAUAGGCCUCAUCCUUCCUCAUGUUGGUUGCCAUCUUUAUGAUAGUCGCCUUGCCCGAUGCAUGAGGACAAGCUAAGAAUCAGCCGAAACAAUAUGAAAAAUACAAGAAGUGUCAAAUGCUCUGUGCAAGAUUGAGGGCCAAAUCAUGUUGAUAGUAUCGUUGAGUGUUUAGACAUGGUCGUUUAAGAUGCACAAGAGUUUUGUGUAUAAGAAUUGGAGUGAGACACUAUAAACACUAGUAAAUGCGUACGUGCAAUGCACAUUGAUAUUAGGCAGAAAACUAAUUGCACAUUGAUAUUAGAAAAAAAAUUAAUAGCAUGUUAAUAUUAGGUAGGAUAUCAAUUACAUGUUAAUUACCUGGAUAGUCAUAUUUGGUAUGUUAUUAACUACACACUAAACAUGUUGAGUGCUCGCGGUUGGAACAAUAUAGGUUGUUGAAUUAACACUGUUUGAUGGCCGAGAUUUGUUGGAUCUGCCCCUUUUGAUUUUUCUGUAUUGAUAUAGAUAUAGAUUGUUGAAUGUUUAAUUAGAAAUAAUGCAAAAACGAUUACAAUAGUGAUUUGAUGCCAUCAUAUUGCUUGUAUCCAUGAAUGGAUUAGGCAAAGUGUUGCUAAGUUCCAAAGGAAAUACCGUACUCAUCGUUUUAUCCUUGUGCUAAAGCGAGCCUCGUUCAACUGUUGAGGUUCAUACACCGACCAAUUUAGCAAAUAGUUAUUGCAUGCUUUAUGCCACGUGGGUGUGUGGGAUUUCAGAAAAAAUCAAUAAGUUAUAUAUUGAAAUUCCAAAAAAAGUUGACAAAAGCCGACGUUUUACACCUAGGUAUGAUAUGCAUACUCUACCUUCAUUAAUAAAUGUUUUCAUUUGUGUGCUACAUAAAAAUCAAUUUCGCGGGUCUACAAUAGGAAAUGAUAUAUUGUAGAUCAACAUAUAUGUCUUUUUUAUGCAGCCCUACAAAUCAACAUAAUGUUAUAUGAAUAUUCACUAGUACAUAACCAGAGUAUACAUGUACUUGUACAUUUUUAUAAAAAAAAUUAAACUUUAGAAUGUUUUUUAUAGAGGAGUUGAUGAACAUGAGCUCAUUUAGCAAUAUCCGAGUAAGGAACCAAAUGCAAGUAGUAAGAUUAAACUAGGUCAUGUUACUGAAGGAAAUAUGUCCUAGAGGCAAUAAUAAAGUUAUUAUUUAUUUCCUUAUUUCAUGAUAAAUUUUUAUUAUUCAUGCUAGAAUUGUAUUAUCCGGAAACAUAAUACAUGUGUGAAUACAUAGACAAACAGAGUGUCACUAGUAUGCCUCUACUUAAUUAGCUCGUUAAUCAAAGAUGGUUAUGUUUCCUAACCAUAGACAUGAGUUGUCAUUUGAUAAACGGAUUAACUUGACCCAUUCCGUUAGCUUAGCACUUGAUCAUUUUAGUUACUGAUAUUGCUUUCUUCAUGACUUAUACAUGUUCCUAUGGCUAUGAGAUUGUGCAACUCCCGAUUACCGGAGGAACACUUUGUGUGCUACCAAACGUCACAACGUAACUGGGUGAUUAUAAAGGUGCUCUACAGGUGUCUCCGAUGGUACUUGUUGAGUUGGCAUAAAUCGAUAUUAGGAUUUGCCACUUCGAUUGUCGGAGAGGUAUCUCUGGGCCCUCUCGGUAAUGCACAUCACUAUAAGCCUUGCAAGCAAUGCAACUAAUGAGUUAGUUGUGGGAUAGUGCAUUACAGAACGAGUAAAGAGACUUACCGGUAAUGAGAUUGAACUAGGUAUUGAGAUAUCGACGAUCGCAUCUCGGGCAAGUAACAUACCGAUGACAAAGGGAACAACGUAUGUUGUUAUGCGGUUUGACCGAGAAAGAUCUUCGUAGAAUAUGUAGGAACUAAUAUGAACAUCCAGGUUUCGCUAUUGGUUAUUGACCAGAGACGUGUCUCGGUCAUGUCUACAUAGUUCUCGAACCCGUAGGAUCCGCAUGCUUAACGUUCGGUGACGAUCGGUAUUAUGAGUUUAUGUGAUUGGAUGUACCGAAGGUAGUUUGGAGUCCCGGAUGAGAUCGGGGACAUGACAAGGAGUCUCGAAAUGGUCGAGAUGUAAAUAUCGAUAUAUUGGACGACUAUAUUCAGACAUCGAAAAGGUUCCGAGUGAUUCGGGUAUUUUUCAGAGUAAUGGGGAGUUACGGGAAUACGGGGAAGAAGUAUUGGGCCUCAUGGGCCAAGUUGUGGAAGAGAGGAGGCAGGGCGCGCGGCCCCCUAGCCCAAACCGAAUUGGACUAGGGGGGCGACCCCCCUUUCCUCCUUUCCUCCCUCUCCUUCCUUCUCCCCUCCCCCUUCCUUUCCUCCUCCUAGUAGGAGUAGGAAAGGGGAGUCCUACUCCUACUAGGAGGAGGACUCCUCCUCCUGGCGCGCCCUAGGAGGGCCGGCCGGCUCCCCCUUGCUCCUUUAUAUACGGGGGCAGGGGGCACCCUAGGACCCACAAGUUGAUCAUUGAUCCCUUAGCCGUGUGCGGUGCCCCCCCUCCACCAUAAUCCACCUCGAUCAUAUCGUAGCGGUGCUUAGGCGAAGCCCUGCGUCGGUAGCAACAUCAUCACUGUCAUCACGCCAUCGUGCUGACGAAACUCUCCCGUGAAGCUCUGCUGGAUUGGAGUUCGUGGGACGUCGUCGAGCUGAACGUGUGCUGAACUCGGAGGUGCCGUGCGUUCGGUACUUGGAUCGGUCGGAUCGUGAAGACGUUCGACUGCAUCAACCGCGUUCUCAUAACUCUUCCGCUUACGGUCUACGAGGGUACAUGGACGAUACUCUUCCCUCUCGUUGCUAUGCAUCACCAUGAUCUUGUGUGUGCGUAGGAUUUUUUUUGAAAUUACUACGUUCCCCAACAGUUACCUCGUUGAUUACCUGUUGAGCCCACAUUCUUGAUCUUACAUGUCUUUAAGGCCAACUCCAACGUGUCGACGCGAAUGGACGUGGAUUUGGCCUGCCUUUUGUCCAUUUGGAUCGGCUGUAGGGACAGUGUUCCCUCGUCCGCACAAAUCUUGCUAGCACACCCAACCGACUAACCCAUAUGGUCCGCCUCAUCGGUUUUUUGCCAAAUUUUCUCAAUUUAGACAUUCUACGCAUAUACAACCAAAUAAAACAAAACAUUUCACAUAGUUUACAACCAAAUAAGUUACACAACAUUUUCAUCACAAUAAAUAAAAAAACUCAUAGUUUAUUACAACCAAAUGAAUUUAAAAUUGUACCAACUACAUUGUAAAAACAGAGUCGAUACACCUAUUGGUUUCCUACGCGAGUCCACAUAUGCUCAACCAAAUUAUUUUGAAGUUAAAUGAUGAGUUGUCCAACCACGUAUUUCUUGAUGAAAUUGGGUGAAAUGUGCAAACAUUGCCGCUCCAUACUCAGGCUCAACGUUCUCACCCUAGAAACCCCACCCUUGAUCAAAGACGAUGUCAUCAUGCUUGUCCUCUACAAUCAUGUUGUGCAUGAUCACACAAGCAGUCAUCACAUCCCACCUCCUCCGAGGACUCCAUGUUCAGGGUGCCGAACGGGGUUGAUUGGAAUCAAGAGACAAAGGUUUACCCAGGUUCGGCCCCUCGCGGUGGAGGUAAAAGCCUACAUCCUUCUUGAUUGCUAUUUGAUGCCGAUGAUGAUCUCGAUUACAGGGUGCUAUUUCACUACCUCUCAUCUCGAGAGCAUAUACUUUGAUCUUGUCUAAGACUUGUCUGUCUGUCCUGACUUGUCUGUCUAAAAAACCUCCUUCUGAUGACCCACGGACUCCCUUUAUAUAAUAGUUGAGCUCCUGGAUUACAAGAGAUUCCAGGUUAUACCCGUUUUCAGAGUCCUACUCUAAGUCCUCUAAGUCCCCCGUGCCAUCCAAGUCGGGGUUCUCCGUCUUGUAUUUGGACUCCUGGAAACCUAGACUUGUCUCUCCAAGUUGGGACUCAUCCUCAAGCCGGGUCUCGUCUUCAGAGUUGGCUCAUCUCCAUGAGCCGGUUUAUCUCCAGAGCAUGCUUAUCUCCGUGAGGCUUCUUCACUUAGUGAGACCACUUAAUUAACUCCGUGAGACGGCUCGUCCGUGAGCCUGCUUAUCCAUGAGCCGACACAUCUUCACGAGCCUGCUUAUCCAUGAGCCGACUCAUCUCCAUGAGCCCGCUUAACCAUGAGCCAGCUCAUCUCCCUGAGCCUGCUUAUCCAUGAGCCCGCUCAUCUCCAUGAGGCCGCGUCACUCCGUGAGCCUGCUUAGCCAUGAGCACGCUCAUCCAUGAUCCGGCUUAUCUUUAGAGUCAGAAAACUUGUCUUGUAAUCGGUCGGGUCAAGAUUGUAGCCUGCUACUUCUUGAGCUUGCGUUGAUUUUUCCCUUGAAGAGGCAAGAGUGAUGCAGCAAAGUAGAGAUAAGUAUUUCCCUCAGUUAAGAACCAAGGUAUCAAUCUAGUAGGAGGCACAAGCAAGUAUCCAAUCUAUGCACCUCCACAAACUAACAAACACUUGCACUCAACGCGAAAAAGGGGUUGUCAAUCUUGAUACGUCCAUUUUGCAUCAUGUUUUCUUACUGUUAUUUAUAAUAUUUUAUCCAUAAUAAUGUUUUUUGGAGUAAUUCUAAUGCCUUUUCUCUCAUAAUAUGCAAGGUAUACACAAAAAGGGAGAAUUCCGGCAGCUGGAAAUCUGGACCUGUAAAAGCUACGUCAGGCCAUCUAUUCCGCACAACUCCAAAUGAGCUGAAACUUCACGGAGAAUUUUUAUGAUAUAUUUGAGGAAUAUUGGAGCAAAUAUCUACCAGAGGGGUCCCACCAGGGCGCGCCAGGGAGCCCAAGCGCACCCUGGUGGGUUGUGCUCACCCAGGCCCACCUCCGGUGCCCAUCUUUUGGUAUUUAAGUCAUUUUGACCUAGAAAAAAUAAAGACAAGACUUUCGGGAUGGAGCGCCGCCGUCUCGAGGCGGAACUUGGGCAGGAGCACUUUUGCCCUCCGGCGGAGCGAUUCCGCCGGGGGAACUUCCCUCCCGGAGGGGGAAAUCAUCGUCAUCAUCAUCACCAACAACUCUCCCAUCUUGGGGAGGGCAAUCUCCAUCAUCAUCUUCAACAACACCAUCUCCUCUCAAACCCUAAUUCAUCUCUUGUGUUCAAUCUUGUUACCGGAAUUAUAGAUUGGUGCUUGUGGGUGACUACUAGUGUUGAUUACAUCUUGUAGUUGAUUACUAUAUGGUUUAUUUGGUGGAAGAUUAUAUGUUCAGAUCCAAUAUGCUAUUUAAUACCCCUCUGAUCUUGAGCAUUAUUAUCAUUUCUGACUAGUUACUUUUGUUCUUGAGGUCACGGGAGAAAUCAUGUUGCAAGUAAUCAUGUGAACUUGAUAUGGGUUCGAUAUUUGGAUAGUAUGUAUGUUGUGAUUCCCUUAGUGGUGUCAUGUGAACGUUGACUACAUGGCACUUCACCAUAUUUGGGCCUAAGGGAAUGCAUUGUGGAGUAGCGAUUAGAUGGUGGGUUGGGAGAGUGACAGAAGCUUAAACCCCAGUUUGUGCGCUACCCCGUAAGGGACCGAUUGGAUCCAAAAGUUUAAUGUUAUGGUUAGAAUUUAUUCUUAAUACUUUCCUCGUAGUUGUGGAUGCUUGCGGGAGGGUUAAUCAUAAGUAAGAGGUUUGUUCAAGUAAGAACAUCACCUAAGCACCGGUCCACCCACAUAUCAAAUUAUCAAAGUACCAAACACAAAUUAAGCCAACAUGAUGAAAGUGACUAGAUGAAAUUCCCGUAUACCCUCAAGAACGCUUUGCUUAUCAUAAGAGACUGUUUUGGCCCGUCCUUUGCCUCAAAAGGAUUGGGCUACCUUCCACUUUCGUUACCACUAUCGUUGCUUGCUCGUUACAAAAAUAGUAUAAAAAGUUGCCAAAAGUAUGUAAAAGUUGUAGAAUAUUGGCAUGGAACAAUCAAAAAUUACAGAUAUGAUGGAGACAUAUCAAGUAGAAGCACUCAGUUUCAGGCUUGGGUCUAGCUUUAGGCUUCUUCAUGGGAGUGGCAACUUGCUUGUCAUUCUUCUUGAAGUUCCCUUUUCUUUCCCUUGCCCUUUUACUUGAAACUAGUGGUCUUGUCAACCAUCAACAUUUGAUGUUUUUCUUGAUUUCUACCUUCGUCGAUUUCAGCAUCACGAAGAGCUUGGGAAUCGUUUUCGUCAUCCCUUCCAUAUUAUAGUUCAUCACGAAGUUCCAGUAACUUGGUGAUAGUGACUAGAGAACUCUGUCAAUCACUAUCUUAUCUGGAAGAUUAACUCCCACUUGAUUCAAGCGAUUGUAGUACUCAAGCAUUUUGAGCACAUGCUCAUUGGUUGAGCUAUUCUCCUCCAUCUUGUAGGCAAAGUACUUGUCAGAGGUAUCAUACCUCUCGACUCGGGCAUGAGUCUGAAAUACCAAUUUCAGCUCUUGGAACAUCUUAUAUGCUCCAUGGCAUUCAAAAUGUUUUUGAAGUCCCGGUUCUAAGCCGUAAAGCAUGGCGCACUAAACUAUUAAGUAGUCAUCAUACCGAGCUUGCCAAACAUUCAUAACGUCUGCAUCUGCUCUUGCAAUAGGUCCGUCACCUAGCGGUGCAUCAAGGACAUAAUUCUUCUGUGCAGCAAUGAGGAUAAUCCUCAGAUCACAGACCCAGUCUGCAUCAUUGCUACUAUCAUCUUUCAACUUAUUUUUCUCUAGGAACAUAUCAAAAAUAAAACAAGGGAGCUAUAUGCGAGCUAUUGAUCUAUAACAUAGAUAUGCAAAAACUAUCAGGACUAAGUUCAUGAUAAAUUAAAUUUUAAUUAAUCAUAUUACUUAAGAACUCCCACUUAGAUAGACAUCCCUCUAGUCAUCUAAAUGAUCACGUGAUCCAUAUCAGCCAAACCAUGUCCGAUCAUCACGUGAGAUGGAGUAGUUUUCAAUGGUGAACAUCACUAUGUUGAUCAUAUCUACUAUAUGAUUCAUGCUCGACCUUUCGGUCUUAGUGUUCCGAGCCAUAUCUGCAUAUGCUAGGCUCGUCAUCAGGUUUAACCCGAGUAUUCUGCGUGUGCAAAACUGGCUUGCAUCCGUUGUAUGUGAACGUAGAGAUUAUCACACCCGAUCAUCAUGUGGUGUCUCGGCACGACAAACUGUCGCAAUGGUGCAUACUCAGGGAGAACACUUAUACCUUGAAAUUUAGUGAAGGAUCAUCUUAUAAUGCUACCGCCGUACUAAGCAAACUAAGAUGCAUAAAGGAUAAACAUCACAUGCGAUCAAAAUAAGUGAUAUGAUAUGGCCAUCAUCAUCUUUUGCCUUUGAUCUCCAUAUUCAAAGCACCGUCAUGAUCACCAUCGUCAAGGCUUGAUACCUUGAUCUCCAUUGAAGCAUCGUUCUUGUCUCGCCAACUAUUGCUACUACGACUAUCGCUACCGCUUAGUGAUAAAGUAAAGUAAUUACAUGGCGAUUGCAUUUCAUACAAUAAAGCGACAACCAUAUGGCUCCUGCCAGUUGCCGAUAACUGUUACAAAACAUGAUCAUCUCAUACAACAAUUUAUAUAUCAUCACGUCUUGAUCAUAUUGAUAACCCACAAGUAUAGGGGAUCGCAACAGUUUUCGUGGGUAGAGUAUUCAACCCAAAUUUAUUGAUUCGACACAAGGGGGGCCAAAGAAUAUUCUCAAGUAUUAGCAGUUGAGUUGUCAAUUCAACCACACCUGGAAACUUAAUAUCUGUAGCAAAGUAUUUAGUAGCAAAGUAAUAUGAUAGUAGUGGUAACGGUAGCAAAAGUAAUGUUUUUGGUAUUUUGUAGUGAUGAUAGCAAUAGCAACGGAAAAGUAAAUAAGCGAAGAACAAUAUAUGGAAAGCUUGUAGGCAAUGGAUCGGUGAUGGAGAAUUAUGCCGGAUGCGGUUCAUCAUGUAACAAUCAUAACAUAGGGUGUCAUAGAACUAGCUCCAAUUCAUCAAUCUAAUAUAGGCAUGUAUUUCAAAUAUAGUCAUACGUGCUUAUGGAAAAGAACUUGCAUGACAUCUUUUGUCCUACCCUCCCGUGGCAGCGGGGUCCUAAUGAAACUAAGGGAUAUUAAGGCCUCCUUUUAAUAGAGUACCGGACCAAAGCAUUAACACAUAGUGAAUACAUGAACUCCUCAAACUACGGUCAUCACCAGGAGUGGUCCCAAUUAUUGUCACUUCGGGGUUGCCGGAUCACAACACAUAGUAGGUGACUAUAGACUUGCAAGAUAGGAUCAAAAACUCAUAUAUAUUCAUGAAAACAUAAUAAGUUCAGAUCUGAAAUCAUGGCACUCGGGCCCUAGUGACAAGCAUUAAGUAUAGCAAAGUCAUAGCAAAAUCAGUCUCAGAACAUAAUGGAUACUAGUGAUCAAACCCUAACAAAACUAACUCGAUUACAUGAUAGAUCUCAUCCAACCCAUCACCAUCCAGCAAGCCUACGAUGGAAUUACUCACGCACAACGGUGAGCAUCAUGAAAUUGGUGAUGGAGGAUGGUUGAUGAUGACGAUGGCGACGGAUUCCCCUCUCCGGAUCCCCGAACGGACUCCAAAUCAGCCCCCUCGAGAGGUUUUAGGGCUUGGCGGCGGCUCCGUAUCGUAAAACGCGAUGAAUUCUUUGCUCUGAUUUUUUCUCCCCGAAACCAAAUAUAUAGAGUUGGAGUUGAGGUCGGAGGAGCUCCAGGGGGCCCAUGAGGUAGGGGGCGCGCCCCUCACCCUCGUGGACAGGUGGUGGACCCCCUGGUCUUCAUCUUUUGCAAGGAUUUUUUAUUAGUUUCGAAUAGAUGUUCCGUGAAGUUUCAGGUUAUUCCGAGAACUUUUGUUUCUGCACAUAAAUAACACCAUGGUAAUUUUGCUGAAAACAACGUCAGUCCGGGUUAGUUCCAUUCAAAUCAUGCAAGUUAGAGUCCAAAACAAGGGCAAAAGUGUUUGGAAAAGUAGAUACGACGGAGAUGUAUCAACUCCCCCAAGCUUAAACCUUUGCUUGUCCUCAAGCAAUUCAGUUGAUAAACUGAAAGUGAUAAAGAAAAACUUUUACAAACUCUGUUUGCUCUUGUUGUUCUAAAUAUGUAAAGCCAGCAUUCAAGUUUUCAGCAAAGAUUAUGAACUAACCAUAUUCACAAUAACACAUAGGUCUGAAGUUUACUCAUAUCAAUGGUAUAAUCAACUAGCGAGCAAUAAUAAUAAAUCUCGGAUGACAACACUUUCUCGAAACAAUCAUAAUAUAAUACAACAAGAUGGUAUCUCGCUAGCCCUUUCUGAGACCGCAAAACAUAAAUGCAUAGCACCUUUAAAGAUCAAGGACUGACUAGACAUUGUAAUUCAUGGUAAAAGAGAUCCAGUCAAGUCAUACUCAAUGUAAACUAACAGUAAUGAAUGCAAAUGACAGCGGUGCUCUCCAACUGGUGCUUUUUAAUAAUAUGAUGACUCAACAUGAAAGUAAAUAGAUAGGCCCUUCGCAGAGUGAAGCAGGGAUUUGUAGAGGUGCCAGAGCUUGGUUUUGAAAUAGAGAUGAAUAAUAUUUUGAGCGGUAUACUUUCAUUGUCAACAUAACAACCAAGAGAUGGCGAUAUCUUCCAUGCUACACACAUUAUAGGCAGUUCCCAAACAGAAUGGUAAAGUUUAUACUCCCCCUCCACCAACAAGCAUCAAUCCAUGGCUUGCUCGAAACAACGAGUGCCUCCAACUAACAACAGUCCCAGGGGAGUUUUGUUUGCAAUUAUUUUGAUUUAGUUUGCAUAAAGCAUGGGACUGGGCAUCCCGGUGACCAGCCACUUUCUCGUGAGUGAGGAGCGGAGUCCACUCCUCUUGAGAAUAACCCGCCUAACAUGGAAGAUACGGACAACCCUAGUUGAUAUAUGAGCUAUUCAAGCAUACAAAACAUGAUAUUUAUUUGAAGUUUUAGAGUUUGGCACAUACAAAUUUACUUGGAACGACAGGUAGAUACCGUAUAUAGGUAGGUAUGGUGGACUCAUAUGGAAUAACUUUGGGGUUUAUGGAGUUGGAUGCACAAGCAGUAUUCCCGCUUAGUACAGGUGAAGACUAGCAAAAGACUAGGAAGCGACCAGUUAGAGAGCGACAACAGUCAUGAACAUGCAUUAAAAUUAAUUAACACCGAAUGCAAGCAUGAGUAGGAUAUAAUCCACCAUGAACAUAAAUAUCGUGAAGGCUAUGUUGAUUUUGUUUCAACUACAUGCGUGAACAUGUGCCAAGUCAAGUCACUUAAGUCAUUCAGAGGAGGAUACCACCCUAUCAUACCACAUCACAACCAUUUUAAUAGCAUGUUGACACGCAAGGUAAACCAUUAUAAGCUCCUAGCUAAUCAAGCAUGGCACAAGAAACUAUGAUCUCUAGUUGUCAUUGCAAACAUGUUUAUUCAUAAUAGGCAGAAUCAGGAACGAUGAACUAAUCAUAUUUACAAAAACAAGAGAGGUCGAAUUCAUACCAGCUUUUCUCAUCUCAGUCAAUCCAUCAUAUAUCGUCAUAAUUGCCUUUUACUUGCAUGACCGAAUAGUGUGAAUAAUAAUAAUAGUGCACGUGCAUUGGACUAAGCUGGAAUCUGCAAGCAUUCAAUAAACAGGAGAAGACAAGGCAAUAUGGGAUCUUUUGUCAGAUCAACAAUAAUGCAUAUAAGAGCUACUUCAAGAAUUUAAUUAUGGUCUUCUCCUAUCGACCCCCAAAGAAAAGAAAUAAAACUAUUAACACGGGAAAGCUCCCAACAAGUAAAAGAAGAACAAGAAAUAUUUUUGGGUUUUCUUUUUUAAUUACUACUACAAGCAUGGAAAGUAAACUAAUUAAAGGCUACAACUAUUUUUUUCUUAAUGUUUAUUAAACACAUAAGAAGAAAGCAUAAAAAGGAAAAUAAACUAGCAUGGGUGAUACAAUGAAAAAGUAUGAGCACCAACAUCUAGCAAUGAGUGUGUGAACAUGAAUGUAAUGUCGAUGGGAAAUACGUACUCCCCCAAGCUUAGGCUUUUGGCCUAAGUUGGUCUAUGGCCACGGUUGGCCUGGCUGAUAUCCAUAGUAAUAGUUGGGGUGAUACUGUGAUGCAGCGGCUAUCGCCUCCUGAGCUGCAGCGUGGCGAUGAGCGGCCUCUGCCCUCCUCUCGUACUCAUUUGCCUCCUCUCUGGUAAUAACAUAUCUUCCUUUUGCCUGAUAAUCAAAGAAGGCAGGAGCAUAGAGAGUAAUACGGACAUCACGACGUCUGUCAAAGAUUAAACGAUACUGGAGAGGUGAUUCAUUCCUCUCAACAAACUGGUGGUGAACCAUAGCAUUAAAGUCUAGGUAAGCAGGAGGUAAUUCAGUAUCAUCAUUACGUAUAGUUACACCAAGAAAAUCAGCUAAGCGGGUUGCAUAAAUUCCACCAAAGAAAUCUUUAUUAAAUCUAUUCAGAUGCAACCUACGUGCAACAAUGGCUCCCAAAUUAUAAGAUUUAUCUCCCAACACAGCACUCCUAAGAAUACUAAGGUCAGGGACACACAUGUGACAUGCUUCAUCUUUACCGUUAAUGCAUCUACCUAUGAAGAGAGCGAAAUAAUGUAUAGUAGGAAAAUGAAUGCUCCCUGUGGUAGCUUGUGUUAUAUCUCUAGAUUCCCCCACAGUUAUACUAGCAAGAAAAUCUCUAAAUUCAGAUUUGCGAGGUUCCCUGAUACUACCCCAUUGUGGAAGUUUGCAAGCAGUGGUAAAAUCCUCUAAGUCCAUAGUGUAAGAAUUUUCAUAAAGAUCAAACAGGACAGUUGGAGAAUUACGUGAAGAUGAAAAUUCAAACCUCCUCACAAAGGAACUAGUGAGAUAGUGGUACUGACGGUAUUUUUCUUCCUCGAAGCUCACAAGAUUAGCGUUACGCAAAUAUACGUUAAAUUCUUCCUUAAUUCCCGCUCGAUCCAUAAAGUUCUCCGAAGGCCAUUCACAAGGACGCACUGGAGCGUUUCUUGGUGGCUCAUCAUCAGCAUCACGCAUUGCAAGCCUGGGCUCUUGUUUCCUUGAAGAGCCCCCUUGGUACAUUUUCCUAAACAUAUUUCUUCCUCUAAAAAAUUUCUGAAUUUUUUAGUAACUUCAAAAUAAAAGUGAACCAAACUCAAUAAUAUUGAUAGCAACUACUCCUACAAGUUCUUAGAGCCUAUAUCAUGCAUCAAAACUACUUUUAACCAUAUAAAUUUGACAUGCAAGCUCAAGAACAGGGUCACCUAAGCAACACAAAUUUGCAAUGAAUAAAGCACUAGAACAAAAACUAAUUGGACCAAUGGAGGAGUCACCUACCAAGGAACAAUCUCCCCAAGCAGUUUUGUGAGAGGUGCUUUAAGCAAGGAGAUCGAAAAUGGUAGCAAAAUGAGCUUAGACUCGGGUUUGAGUUGGAUAUUCGUGUUUGUGGGAGGAAGAAGGAGUGUGUGGGUGCAGGAAUAAGUGGAGGAGGGCCACCAUGGGCCCACGAGGCAGGGGGCGCGCCUAGGGGGGUAGGGCGCGCCCCUGACCCUCGUGGCCAGGUGCCAGCUCCUCGUGUUGUGUUCUCAGUGCCAAAUAUUCUCAAAUAUUUCAGAAAAAAAAUCAUAUUUAAAUUUCAGGGCAUUUGGAGAACUUUUAUUUUUGGGGUAUUUUUAUAUUGCACGGAUAAAUCAGAUAACAGACAGAAAAAUACUAUUUUUAUUUUAUUUAAUAUAAAUAACAGAAAGUAAGAGGAGGGUACAGAAGGUUGUGCCUUCUAGUUUCAUCCAUCUCAUGAUCAUCAAAAGGAAUCCAUUAACAAGGUUGAUCAAGUGUUGUUAACGAACUCAUUCCGAAUAAUAUGGAACCGGAGAAAUUUCAAAUAACACUAUGUUACCUCAACGGGGAUAUGCACAUCCCCAAUAAUAAGAAUAUCAUAUUUCUUCUUGACAGUAGGAAGAGGAAAUUUAAAACCUCCAAAUAUAAUCGAUGGAAUUUUUCCAAUAGAGUUGAUUCUAUGAACUUGAUGUUGUUUCCUCGGAAAGUGUACCGUAUGCUCAUUACCAUUAACAUGAAAAGUGACAUUGCCUUUAGUGCAAUCAAUAACAGCCCCUGCAGUAUUCAAAAAGGGUCUUCCAAGAAUAAUAGACAUACUAUCGCCCUCGGGAACAUCAAGAAUAACAAAGUCCGUUAAAAUAGUAAUGUUUGCAACUACAACAGGCACAUCCUCACAAAUACCGAUAGGUAUAGCAGUUGAUUUAUCAGCCAUUUGCAAAGAUAUUUCAGUAGGUGUCAACUUAUUUAAAUCGAGUCUACGAUAUAAAGAGACAUGCAUAACACUAACAGCGGCUCCAAGAUCACAUAAAACAGUUUUAACAUAAUUUCUUUUAAUGGAACAUGGUAUAGUGGGUACUACCGGAUCUCCAAGUUUCUUUGGUAUUCCACCCUUAAAAGUAUAAUUAGCAAGCAUGGUGGAAAUUUCAGCUUCCGAUAUCUUUCUUUAAUUUGUAACAAUAUCUUUCAUAUACUUAGCAUAACUAUUCAUUUUGAGCAUAUCAGUUAAUCGCAUACGCAAAAAGAUAAAGGUCUAAUCAUUUCAGCAAAGCACUCAAAAUCCUCAUCAUCCUUUUUCUUUAAUGGUUUGGGAGGAAAAGGCAUGGGUUUCUGAACCCAAGGCUCUCUUUCCCUACAGUGUUUCCUAGCAACAAAGUCUUUCUUAUCAUAACAUUGAUUCUUUGAUUGUGGGUUAUCAAGAUCAACAACAGGUUCAAUUUCUAUAUCAUUAUCAUUGCUAAGUUGAGCAUCAUCAUGAACAUUAUCAUUAACAUUAUCACUAGUUUCAGGUUCAUUACCAGAUUGUGUUUCAGCAUCAGAGAUAGAAAUAUCAUUUGGAUUCUCAGGUGUUUCGGUAAUAGGUUCACUAGAAGCAUGCAAAGUGAUAGAGGCGAGGGUCCCGAUCUUUCGAUGAGACGAUAACUAUCGAUUUGGUGGAGACGACUUUGACGAUCCGACUACAAACGUGCAUGACGUUGCGCCUUAGCAACCGCUAAACCAAUCUCCUGAGGUUACUGACGAUGCUGGAAGCACGGUCAACCUGACCACGAAGGUCUAUUCCUGCAAGCAAUCAAAGAACAAGCAAGAAUAUGAUAAAGCAAUCUGAAUAUUGCGAGUAUAUAUGAAGUAUUGAUAAAGGUGGGGAUCCGUAAGCGGUCUUGGUCUGGUCGUUGGACACAAACGAAGUACACGAAGUUGCUAUGGCUAACUUUUAACUAAACAAAUCCCCAGAAAAAAGCUACUAGAUGAAUCUACUUAUAUAGGAGCAAGGGGUGGCGGCCAAGGAGGUGGGAGGACGUCCCAAGGCAGCCUAAAACUAACCCUAGGUCGUACAAGGCUCAUGGGUCCAAGUGGAGGUGAUGCAACACCUUUGGGCUUGUAAUUUGACUCGGAUUCUGCUGUAAUGUCAGAUUGUUUCGUCCGUAACUCAACGCUUCGGACGAAUUUGAAGGUGAAUCCAAUUGGGUUGGAAAGAGCAUGAAAUCUAGUUUCCAACAAAAAAAGAAUCACCCAAUUCAGAGUCCGUAUGAAAAAGUUGUUGGCGUUUUGAGUCAGGUAUGUCUGUGCAGUCCGAAUCUGAAUCCAGAACGUGAGAGACUUGGACUCUAUCUUCUCUUGGCCCAAAAGUGACGUGAGAGGACUUUUUGAACACAACCUAAACUUCUCCUUUUCCCUUAUCUUCAUAUGUGGAUUGUACAAAUGUCCCAUACACCUGCAAUUAGACAAAACACAAAAGUGUGUGAAGUAUUUUUGUUCUGGAUAACAUAAAUAGAUUAUUGAAUAGUUUGCAUUAAAAUCACCUGACAAAUAUGUAUGUAUGCAAUAUUUUUGGUCGUAUCCAAGGUAGUCAUGUCCUCAUCAUCCUCCCCUUUUUGAAAACAAAGCCGUCCUCGGCGUUGCUUAAUCUGAAAUGUGGUUAACAAAAGAGACAAGGUGUACAUGUUGUAUAUGUAUAUGUCAUCCAGUUUAACUUCCCUUGAUUUUUGCACGUAUGACACAUGUAUACAUGAGUAACUUUCAUAGUUCAUAAAAACUAAAGCCAAAAAAUUAUCACAAGAAGUAGAAGGCAUGAAAAUAUUAGAACUCAGUUUGCACAUAUAAGUGAAGCUCUUAUUCAUUUCAAAAGAUUCGCAAUGUUCAUCAUUAAACCAUCCCAACUUUGGUGAAUAAACCUUACUUGCAUCAAAUUUACAUGCUACAACAUGCUUAAAUAAGCAAACAUGCAAUAAGUCAUUGGACACAGAAUCAUCACCAAGAUUGGAGGCCAUAUCAAAAUGAUUAAACAUUAGUUCUUUUGCAUCAACAGUUAAUUCAGUGGGUGCACUCAAAAUUGUUGAUAUUUCAGUUGUUUGAUCACAUGACGCAUUCAUGACAGUAACAAGAUUCUCUAAAUAGGUGGUGUGCUCAAAUCAACAGGUAACUCAAUACAUGACACAUUCAAGUUAACUAGGCAUGCAUCAUUCUCAUGUGAAGUUAUAUCAUCAAUACCUUUACUGUUACCUUGUGGCAAAGAUGUAGCUGAUGUAGGUACGAACGUUGACAAUGUACCAUACCCUUGAGAUGAUGCCGCGCUCAUAAUCUGAGGUGCAAUGAUGGAGGAACCCACCGGCGGUGGUGAGCAUGAACUGAAAUAGUAGUUGUUGUAGUCACCUAAUGCAUCCUCCUGUAUCUGUCUCUCAAAGGUACAAGCACGGACAUACAUAUCAGUAAUGCAACAAGGAAUAUACUGAAAUCUUGCCUGAAUAUCAUGGUUCAAACCACCAAAAAAUCUAUUCAUUGUAUCAUUCUCAGAUUCUUCUAUGUCACAAUGAUGCAUAUAAGAUUUGAACUCUUGGUAGUAAGCAUGAACAGUGUUGUUGCCUUGUUUAAAUUGUUCAAAUUUGCGAAGCAAUUCACGAUGAUAAUAAGGAGGGAAAAAUUGUUGUCUCAUUACAGCUUUCAAAACUUUCCAAGUUGUGGGUUGGUUAUCAAUGUUUUUCUUACAAUGUACACUCCACCAAACAGAAGCAAAAUCAGUAAAUGCUCUAGUGGCUGCUCGCACUCGCUCAAGUUCAUAAAAGUCAUGGUGACUAAAAGCUUGUUCUACUUCAAGCUCACAAGCUAGAUAAGUAGUAGGAUUAAAUCUGCCCUCAAAUGACGGUAAAAAGAUAACCUGACCAUGUGCUUGUGUGUGUUGUCCCAACUCUCGUGAUGGUGAAGAUGUGUUUGUCGUCUAAGAACUUCUAUCUUCGGAACCUGUCAUGAUUAGUAGAAACAAGAAACAAAAUUCAAGAAUAAUGUUCCUAUGAACUACUAGGGUGUGGUGGUAAAGCGCCCACAGUAAAGCAAAUAUCAAUAUCUUACAAGUUCUUACCAAGCAGCAGAUGGUGACAGGCAACCAGCGGUGUCAAAUAACUCCGAAGAUUGUGUAAAGUGAUUGCCAGGGGAACGUGCGUAUACACGGUUUAGAAAUAUGUGGAGCUGGGUUGGCUAUAUAUGGUAGCAAAAGAUUAGCAAUAAUCAAUUCAGAGAUGCAAUGUUGAAUAAACGCUCAAUGAUGGUACUGUGCUGGUCCUAGGCUAGACCGAACUAGAGACGCGAGCCUAGAACACUAAUGAGGUCACGUCGUAGCACAACUAGCAUCAAUGAAGGAUACUAAGUAGCUCUGGACAGCAAGAUAUAAGUAAAGAUCACAACGGCAGUAAAGAUAAUGAUGUGAAACAACAGCCAAGAAGGAUAUAUCAACAACUUUGUCUCCAACUUUCCUUUAAAAAAGUUUGUGCCGAUUUUUUUGAUUUUUUUUCAAGAAUGGUAUUGACUCAAGCUUUCAAACACAAAAGGAAUCACUCAAUUUCGAGUUGAUAUGAGGAGUUAAAAAAUUCGAAAACUGGCCUGAAAAACUGAAAUAAGCUGUGUUCAAGAACUUCGGAGGGCAAAAAGACCUAUUUAGAAGCCGAUUUUGAGGUGCCAAAUAUUGAACUAGCUUCUUCAACUAUUUAGAUGCGGCUCGUCGCUAGCUUUCGUUUGAGUACUCGCGGAGGCAAAACGGACUUCGUAUGAGGAAGUUAUGUCUGUUUUACUGAACAGUGCACAAAACAGAUUCCAAUCCGAAUUCAACUACGAGAUUGAGCCUAAAAAGAUCCGAAUUUUGUUUUUUUUCUUCUCUUUUUUUUCCUCACACUUUUUUUUCUUUCUCUCCUUUUUUUCUCUGACUUUUUUUCUCUUUUUUUCUCUCAUUUUUUUCUCUCUUUUUUUCUCCCUCUUUCCAAAACAAACUAGAUAAGAUGCAGAUUGGAUCAAGCGAAGAUGUGAACGAGAUCAACUAUUAUUAUGACAAUGAAUGGUGGGUAGCACGUGGUGGAAAUUGAUGGAUGGGUGGUGGACAGCGAAAGAGAUAAUGAUGCAGCGGUGGCGUGACUAAUGUGAACAGAACUCGAAACUCUAAACGAACUAGACACUAAGACCAGCAACUCGACACGAUGAUGUAACCGAUAAUUCAACUAUGCAAGCAAUGAAAAGAAAAUUGCAAAGGCCCAGACUGGCUUGGACCAAGGUUGAAUAGAUCUAACUCUUUUUUGUGCCUUUUCCUUGGACAAUAGGUAAGAAAAAAAAUCUAAUCUAGGAAAACUGGAAAUUCUCACCGAGCAACCUGAAAACUGAUACCACUUGAUAGAGGCGAGGGUCCCGAUCUUUCGAUGAGACGAUAACUAUCGAUUUGGUGGAGACGACUUUGACGAUCCGACUACAAACGUGCAUGACGUUGCGCCUUAGCAACCGCUAAACCAAUCUCCUGAGGUUACUGACGAUGCUGGAAGCACGGUCAACCUGACCACGAAGGUCUAUUCCUGCAAGCAAUCAAAGAACAAGCAAGAAUAUGAUAAAGCAAUCUAAAUAUUGCGAGUAUAUAUGAAGUAUUGAUAAAGGUGGGGAUCCGUAAGCGGUCUUGGUCUGGUCGUUGGACACAAACGAAGUACACGAAGUUGCUAUGGCUAACUUUUAACUAAACAAAUCCCCAGGAAAAAGCUACUAGAUGGAUCUACUUAUAUAGGAGCAAGGGGUGGCGGCCAAGGAGGUGGGAGGACGUCCCAAGGCAGCCUAAAACUAACCCUAGGUCGUACAAGUCUCAUGGGCCCAAGUGGAGGUGAUGCAACACCUUUGGGCUUGUAGUUUGACUCGGAUUCUGCUGUAAUGUCAGAUUGUUUCGUCCGUAACUCAACGCUUCGGAUGAAUUUGAAGGUGAAUCCAAUUGGGUUGGAAAGAGCACGAAAUCUAGUUUCCAAUAAAAAAAGAAUCACCCAAUUCAGAGUCCGUAUGAAAAAGUUGUUGGCGUUUUGAGUCAGGUAUGUCUGUGCAGUCCGAAUCUGAAUCCAGAACGUGAGAGACUUGGACUCUAUCUUCUCUUGGCCCAAAAGUGACGUGAGAGGACUUUUUGAACACAACCUAAACUUCUCCUUUUCCCUUAUCUUCAUAUAUUGAUUGUACAAAUGUCCCAUACACCUGCAAUUAGACAAAACACAAAAGUGUGUGAAGUAUUUUUGUUAUGGAUAACAUAAAUAGAUUAUUGAAUAGUUUGCAUUACAAAUCACCUGACAAAUAUGCAUGCAUGCAAUAUUUUUGGUCGUAUCCAAGGUAGUCAUGUCCUCAUCACAAAGUCCUAUCAUUUUUCUUUUUCUUCCUAUUAGAAGGACUAGGUGCAUCCACAUUAUUUCUAUGAGAAUCUUGCUCAAUUCUCUUAGGGUGGCCUUCAGGAUACAAAGGUUCCUGAGUUAUUCUACCACCUCUAGUCAUAACUCUAACAAUGUUAUCAUUAUUCUUACUAUUCAAUUCAUUGAUCAAAUAAUUUUGAGCUUUAAGUACUUGUUCUACUCGAGUGGUAACCAUAGAAGCAUGUUUACUAAUAAGUUUAAGUUCACCUUUGACAUUAGCCAUAUAAUUACCCAAGUGUUCAAGCAUAUCUGAAUUGUAUUUCAAUUGUCUACCAAAAUAAGCAUAACAAUCUUCUUGCUUAACCAUAAAUUUAUCAAGCUCAUAUAAGCAUGGGCUAGCAAAUUUAGUAAACGGGAUUUCAUCUUUAUCAUGUCUAUAGAGAGAAUUUACCUUUACUACCUGUGUCGGGUUAUCAAGACCAUGAGUUUCUUCAAUAGGAGAUGUAUUAAGGUCAUAUGUUUCUUCAACACGCGGUAAAUUAAGAUCGUGUAUUUCUUCAAUAGGAUGUAAAUUCUUAACAUCUUCGGCUUUAAUACCUUUUUCUUUCAUAGAUUUCUUUGCCUCUUGCAUAUCUUCAUGACUGAGAAAUAGAACACCUAUCUUCUUCGGAGUUGGUUUAGGAAUAGGCUCAGGAAGUGUCCAAUUAUUUUCAUUUGUCAACAUAUUAUUCAAUAGAAUUUCAGCUUCAUCCUGUGUUCUUUCCCUGAAAACAGAACCAGCACAACUAUCCAGGUAAUCUCUAGAGGCAUCGGUUAGUCCAUUAUAAGAGAUAUCAAGUAUUUCAUUUUUCUUAAGAGGAUGACCAGGCAAAUCAUUAAGUAAUUGGAGAAGCCUCCCCCAAGCUUGUGGGAGACUCUCUUCUUCAAUUUGCACAAAAUUAUAUAUAUCCCUUAAAGCAGCUUGUUUCUUAUGAGCAGGGAAAUAUUUAGCAGAGAAGUAAUAAAUCAUAUCCUGGGGACUAUGCACACAACCAGGAUCAAGAGAAUUAAACCAUAUCUUAGCAUCACCCUUUAAUGAGAACAGAAAUAUUUUAAGGAUAUAAAAGUAACGAGUUCUCUCAUCAUUAGUUAAUAGGGUGGCUAUAUCAUUUAAUUUAGUAAGAUGUGCCACAACAGUUUCAGAUUCAUAGCCAUGAAAAGGAUCAGAUUCAACCAAAGUAAUUAUAUCAGGAUCAACAGAGAAUUCAUAAUCCUUAUCAGUAACAAAGAUAAGUGAAGUAGCAAAAGUAGGGUCAGGUUUCAUCCUAGCAUUUAGAGAUUGCUUAUUCCAUUUAACUAAUAACCUCUUAAGUUCAUAACUAUCUUUGCAAGCUAAAAUAGCUAAAGAAGCUUCUUUAUCAAAAACAUAACCCUUAGGAAUAACGGGCAAGUCUUCAUCAUCACUUUCAUCAAUAUUAUCAGAUUCAAUAUUUUCAUUCUCUCUAACCCUAGCAAGUUGUUCAUCAAGAAAUUCACGAAGUGGCACAGUAGUAUCAAGCAUAGAAGUAGUUUCAUCAUAAGUAUCAUGCAUAGCAGAAGUGGCAUCAUCAAUAACAUGUGACAUAUCAGAACGAAUAGUAGAAGCGGGUUUAGGUGUCGCAAGCUUACUCAAAACAGAAGGUGAAUCAAGUGCAGAGCUAGAUGGCAGUUCCUUACCUCCCCUCGUAGUUGAGGGAUAAAUCUUGGUUUUUGGAUCUCUCAAGUUCUUCAUAAUGAUAAGCAGAUAUAAAUCCCAAGUGACUCAAAGAAUAGAGCUAUGCUCCCCAGCAACGGUGCCAGAAAAUAGUCUGGAUAACCCACAAGUAUAGGGGAUCACAACAGUUUUCGAGGGUAGAGUAUUCAACCCAAAUUUAUUGAUUCGACACAAGGGGAGCCAAAGAAUAUUCUCAAGUAUUAGCAGUUGAGUUGUCAAUUCAACCACACCUAGAAACUUAAUAUCUGCAGCAAAGUAUUUAGUAGCAAAGUAAUAUGAUAGUAGUGGUAACGGUAGCAAAAGGUAACGGUAGCAAAAGUAAUGUUUUUUGGUAUUUUGUAGUGAUGAUAGCAAUAGCAACGGAAAAGUAAAUAAGCGAAGAACAAUAUAUGGAAAGCUUGUAGGCAAUGGAUCGGUGAUGGAGAAUUAUGCCGGAUGCGGUUCAUCAUGUAACAAUCAUAACAUAGGGUGACACAGAACUAGCUCCAAUUCAUCAAUCCAAUGUAGGCAUGUAUUUCGAAUAUAGUCAUACGUGCUUAUGGAAAAGAACUUGCAUGACAUCUUUUGUCCUACCCUCCCGUGGCAGCGGGGUCCUAAUGGAAACUAAGGGAUAUUAAGGCCUCCUUUUAACAGAGUACCGGACCAAAGCAUUAACACAUAGUGAAUACAUGAACUCCUCAAACUACGGUCAUCACCGGGAGUGGUCCCGAUUAUUGUCACUUCGGGGUUGUCGGAUCAUAACACAUAGUAGGUGACUAUAUACUUGCAAGAUAGGAUCAAGAACUCACAUAUAUUCAUGAAAACAUAAUAGGUUCAGACCUGAAAUCAUGGCACUCGGGCCCUAGUGACAAGCAUUAAGCAUAGCAAAGUCAUAGCAACAUCAAUCUCAGAACAUAAUGGAUACUAGGGAUCAAACCCUAACAAAAUUAACUCGAUUACAUGAUAGAUCUCAUCCAACCCAUCACCGUCUAGCAAGCCUACGAUGGAAUUACUCACGCACGGCGAUGAGCAUCAUGAAAUUGGUGAUGGAGGAGGGUUCAUGAUGACGAUGGCGAUAGAUUCCCCUCUCCGAAGCCCCGAACGGACUCCAGAUUAGCCCUCCCAAGAGGUUUUAGGGUUUGGCGGCGGCUCCGUAUCGUAAAACGCGAUGAAUUCUGUAACAUCCCAAAAUUCUAAAUUUUGGAAUGUUAUAAUAAAUAGAUAGAUUGAUUGUUUGUUUGAUUGUUGUGUGAUUGAUUUAGUGAAAUUCGAAACCUUUUGAAAGUUAAAUGAGAGGGAAUAAAAGGACUUUCCCAAACUUUCAUUUUUGCAUUUAUGAUCUCCGGGAAUUCAAAUUCUUUUCACCACAAAACCCUGGAGAGAAGAUGACAUGACUUCUUCCAUUUAUUCAAAUGAAAAAGGGUUUUGAAAAGAUUUGAAUUUUAUUUGGAAAUAUUUCCAAUUCUGAAACUUUAUGCAACUCAAUGAUUUUCACGAGCGAAGAUAAAAUGACUUCUUCAAAACAUAUGAAAUAUGAGUUGGGAUUUUCAAAGGAUUCAAAGUCCUUUUGGAAAUUAUUUUUAAUUUGGAGUUAUUUGGUUUUAUUCAAAUUAUUUUUCUCCAAAAAUAAAAUACAUGGAAAAUAGGGUAACAUGAUUCCCUACAAUAGAAAAUUGAAGAGAAAUAAAUUUGAAUUCAUUUUGGUUUUUAAAAAAUGAUUUUUGUUGGAUUUUAUUAGACAAGUAGCACUCUUUGAAUUAUCUAAAUUUGUGUGAAUUUUAUUUAAUGCUAGGAAAAUGUUCACGCUGUAGACAAUAUUUUUCUGAAAUUUUUGAUAUAUUAUAUGCCUAUAGUUUAUUUUUUUGUGGUUAUUCGUAUUUUUGCUGUCAGUAAAAAAUGUUUUAAGAAAACCUUUCUCUUCGGGCCGACCAAACUGGGCCGCGCCCAGCCCAGCCGGCCCAGCGCACCGUCACCCUCGUGUACCCGAGCAGGACUACCGCCGGAGUCCGGCACCGACCUCGCCGCCUUUGCGCCUCGCCCAUGCAUCGCCCGCCCCCUCCCCUCCUUAAAAAGCGGCCCCGGGCCCUGCCUCUCUCCCUGCCGUGCCGCGCCGCCCCUCCCGCGUCGCGUCGCCGUCCCGCGCUGCAGAUCGCCACUCACCGCCGGCGAGAUCCGCCGCGCCGCCGCCGCAGCCGUCUCCUUGCUGCGCCGCUGCCCGCUAGNNNNNNNNNNNNNNNNNNNNNNNNNNNNNNNNNNNNNNNNNNNNNNNNNNNNNNNNNNNNNNNNNNNNNNNNNNNNNNNNNNNNNNNNNNNNNNNNNNNNNNNNNNNNNNNNNNNNNNNNNNNNNNNNNNNNNNNNNNNNNNNNNNNNNNNNNNNNNNNNNNNNNNNNNNNNNNNNNNNNNNNNNNNNNNNNNNNNNNNNNNNNNNNNNNNNNNNNNNNNNNNNNNNNNNNNNNNNNNNNNNNNNNNNNNNNNNNNNNNNNNNNNNNNNNNNNNNNNNNNNNNNNNNNNNNNNNNNNNNNNNNNNNNNNNNNNNNNNNNNNNNNNNNNNNNNNNNNNNNNNNNNNNNNNNNNNNNNNNNNNNNNNNNNNNNNNNNNNNNNNNNNNNNNNNNNNNNNNNNNNNNNNNNNNNNNNNNNNNNNNNNNNNNNNNNNNNNNNNNNNNNNNNNNNNNNNNNNNNNNNNNNNNNNNNNNGGAGCCGCCGUCUCGCCUCGCCCCGUUCGCCGGAGCCGCCGCACCAUCGUCCCGUCUCGCCGGAGUAACCACCCCAUCGCCGGUUUUGUCUUCGUGAACCGGUAUAAACCGUAAACCCGUUCGGUUUCUUUUCUUUAGCUCGGUUUAUUUCUUUUGAUCGGUUUUUCUUUUAGUUAGAUCUAAAUAGUGAAUGUUCGCUAGAUUAGGUCCUCACAGUGAAAGGAUUCGUCUGUUAGCGUUCUGCAACAAAUAUUCGGUAUUUAAGUUUUUCUUUUUCUGUUUUAAUUCCAGCCAGGGACCUAUCUGUGAAUUCUUUUCUUACAAAUUAGUCCCUCUGCUUCAAACGAUCACUACUUUUUACGCGUUUAUCCAAAUCCAACGAAACCAACGCCCACUUCUUCGUUCUGAUCCCCUCUAUCCAGUAAAACAACUUGAACAUAUUUUUGAAAGUUUUAAAAUUUGAAUUCAAACAGUUUUGUAUUUGAACUUUGUUUGAUCAUAACUUGAGUUUUAUAACUCCAUUUGAGUUGAUACUUUUUGCAAAUCGAAGCUCUUGACCUACACUUUCUGAUAAAGCCAAAUUCACAUAAUUUUGGUACUGUUAGAAAUUGUUUUAUGUUGCAAGAGUUAUUUGCUUGGUUUAGAAGUUUUCCGAAUCGUCUUCUUCGAUCUUUCUGAUCUGUUGAGUGAUUGCUUAUGUGUGGUUCUAUUGCUUGCGUACGAUAGAUUGACCGGAGUGUGACGAGUAGAUCUAUCAAGAGUUAUGAGUGCGAAUCAUGUUCAUCAACAUUGCAGGCAAGUUCACACUUUGAUCAUAUCCCUUUCAUACCCAGUUUUUAUGCAUUAGUUUCACCCUCAAACAUUGCAUGGUUAGGACUUGAUAACAUGUGGGUAUUGGGAAGUAGUUGAUGAGGUAGGAACCUAUUGCCCUGUUACUAUCAAACCCCUGGGAGUUACUAUUACGUUAUGCUUAUGCUGCUAUGCUAUGCUCGUAGACGUGGUUUGGGUGAGUGAAAUCCAUGACAGAUGUGAGGUUGUUAAUAAUGGUUUACUUAAGGUGGCAACUUUAACACAUAUCUGGGUGGAUUGAGGCACCUGGGUAUUCCAACGAUUGCCUGUUUUUCUUUAUGGACCGCCACCCAGGCUCAAAGGGAUCAUGAGAUUAUUCAUGCUAGAAACUUCCGUGUGCAGCCACAAGCUACUAUGGGCUCUAGCAUAGUUGAUUAAGUCGCGCGAACUCUUAUAGUGGUAGACUAGCAGAUGUAGGGGAAAGUAGGUGUAACGGUGUACCCGAUCGUAAGGUGCUAGCGCUUCUGAAAGACUAUGUCUCGGUCAUCCGUUUCUCAAACACCAUGUAGUGCAAGAAUCCCAACGGAGGAGAUCGAGUCUUGUGGGGAAAAGUGCGCAAACUCUGCAGAGUGUACAAACUAAUCAUGGUUAGCCGUGUCCCCGGUUAUGGACAAUCUUGAGUCUCUGGUACUUGGAUUAUAAUAUUGAUCUCAUCACGUUACUUAAAUAAUUUGUUGGGUUAUUGAUGUUAAUUUGGGAUUGAGUUGGAGGAACCUUCUCAAUAUUUUCAACCAACUUUGUAGUUAAAUAAAAUAUAUUCCUUGCAGUAGGAAAAAAUUGGCUUUUCGCAAAAACAUUAUAACCAUAGAGAUUUUCCACGAGCCAAAUAUGCAUGUAGUGAUAGUUAUUAUUCAUCAUUAUCCUAUGGUGUGAAUUUGCCAGUACAUUGAAUGUACUGACCCUCUGUGGCUGCAACGUCUCAUGUUGCAGGAUUUUUUACGACGAGUAAGUGAUACGUUAGGGUUACGAUUUCUACACUCAACUUUGCCGUUGGUGUUGAUGGGAAUCCACAACCUUGUUGUUACUUCCGUUAUUGGAUUGAGGUAAUAGUAUUUACGUUAUUUUAUACAUGUGAUUUACCUCUGUUAUAAAUCCUCGAGUACUGUGCGUGUCAGCAUACCGAUCCAGGGAUGACACUUAAGCACAAAGACUUGACCGUCUAAGGUCGGGUCGCUACAAGAUGGUAUCAGAGCACAUGUUGACUGUAGGACGUGACCCAAGAAAUUGGCAAGCCCAUAGGAAAGAUUUUCUCUACAACUUCAUUUUCAAAAGAUCUUUUACCUCUCUUCUCUUCUGAGCUUAUUCAAAUAUUCCCUUUUAGUGAGACCAUACCCUUUUUUCCCUUUUGACCACACGAAGAUUCAGCUGAUGAGAUCACUCCAAGAAGUACAAGAUAUUGGAUAGCUAGGACCACUUUGGAAUGAAGAGGAUUUUUCUAUGCUUUAUAAAAUGGAAACUACAACAGUUAAAGACUCCGAAGACUAGGAGAAUUUGAAGGCUCUAAAGAAUUCCCAGAUUUGUAAGACCUAGGAAGGCUACCCUUAUUGAACUUGGCAGACUAAGGAAGCUGUCAAUACCCGUGAUCAAGGUGUAUCGGAGAAAGACCGGAACAUGGAGCAACCCAAAGUUUUUGUCAAGAAAACCCGAAGACAGGAGAUAUCAAUUAUGGAAUGAAAGCUCAUGGCAGUAACAUGGGCAGAAACAUGGCUAUCCAUGAUGUUAUCACCCACUUAUGCUAUUAUCACCAUGCUGAGUUAAGCAUGCUUAUGCAUGGAAGGAUUGGAUGGUAGAAGGCUGAUGGAGCACCUAUUAGCAAAAGAUGAAGUUUUAACCUUAGCUGGUGUAUCGCCAGAAUCUGGAGUAAUACAUCAAGAAGUUUAAGAUGGACUUGUAGGAAGUCAUAUUUGACAAGGAGGCCAUUCGUGAAGAACUCAGGAACCAAAAACUGAAAGUAGCCAAGCUGGAGGAGCUACAACCUCGAGAUACCGAAGAUUUGUCAGGAACUGAGGGACAGUAGGACCAUGGCUCAUGCCAAGGAUGUUGAAACCCAGAAGUUUGGAACACAACUCUAGAAAUAUUGAAGGACGUCAUGAGAGACUUCGUGUCAACAGACAUGAUCUGGCAAAAGAACUUGAGAAGGACAAGCACAAUCGAAAGAAGCCAUUAGAGACAUGAACAAGACUCGUAGAGCUUGAUGACUUUGAAGAUUUAUUGACCUUUAGAAGACCCAACCCCUGUUAUAUGCCUAUGUUAGAUGCGACGAUUGUGAGCUGUCAUUUGUUUGAUGUUUUUCGACAGCCACAACAAAAAUCUGUCUUUUCAAAACUGUUGUUUGUAUUGUGUGUAUCCCUCUCCCUCCCUCUCAUCUCACCCCAAACCCAUGGACCCAAUAGAGGACGAAUGGAGAUGAACUCAUGUUUCCCUGGACCGAUAAGUCAAUUGGAGAUGGACCAAUGGAUUCAGAACAUGGAGGAUCAUAUGAAGAAUAACCCUAUAGUUGGAAAGGAUAUGACCCAGCAUGCUCUUCAGUGCUUUGAAAGAGGUGCUGCUACUUGGUGGAGGAUGUACCAAACCAUCAAUGGGUGGCAAGGAGUAACCACUUGGAAAGAAUUUAAGUUGACUUUGCCAAAGUCUCGGUUUGUGUCCUAGAAGUUGAAGCCUUAUGGAAAGGAUAUGAAGAAACCUUGUGCAUGCAAGAUUUGUGGAGAAAUAGGACACACCCAUAAAGAACACAAGGAUGAAUGUCCUAAUUGUGAAGGAAGUCACCCAGUUGAAGAAUGCCCAACUAGGCAGAUUACUUGUUUCUUGUGUGAAGGUACUACCCACUAUCCUGCUCAGUGUCACAUUUACCCCAUGGUACAACAAACCAUCCAGCAGAAGAAAGAAGUAAUGAAAGGAUCCCUCAUGGAAAUUUUAGAAGAAACUAUGAUGAAGGAAGAGGUGGAGGACACACCUAAAGAAGACCCGAGUAAACCCUGCACUAAGUCUUGCUAUUCAUGUGGAGAAGAAGGACACAUCUCCCAGAAUUGUAUGAAUGGGGAUCUAGUAGAAUUCCGUACGGAGGAACUAUAAUAUGACCCACAAGAAAUAGAAGCCAUGAUUGGCAUGGAAAGGUCCAGGAAGAGAAGAAGAUUGGAUUCCAGGAAGGACCUGAGUCAUAUCACCUGUUACAGGUGCAAGGAGUCAGGGCACUACCUCAGCAGUUGCCCAAAAAGGAAACCUCGAGACUUGUCAGAAAUAGUAUGUUUUCGUUGUAAGGGAGCAGGGCACUUUGCCAGAGAAUGCCCCAAGGAGAAGGAGACUUUUUCUAGAUAGUUGAGUUUGCAACAGAAGAAAUGGAGUAGUAGAAGUGAGAACAUUUUCUUUUAUUUCGAGGUGUUGAGUUGAGAUUGUAAUCAAUUGAGAGUGAAUAAACUUAGCAUUGUUGGUACUGAUAUGGAUUUUAUGAGUUGUUACUCUAUGAAGAAAGAUUUUGACCAUUUUUGAGGAUAUAAGAAAUAUGGUCUAUGGAAGAUUUAUGCAUUUUAAGGGUGGUAGUACCCUGUAAGAACCCUUGACCCCUGGAAAAGAUAAGGAUACUCCACUGAGUGGAUUUCGGACAAAAUGACUACGAGUUUGUCUCGAUAUGUGUGAUACCCCAAGAGCAUGUGGGAUGAAGUUGGAGACCAUCAGUUGUUUGGACCAAAUGUGAUCAAGGAGUCAGGAGAUAAUGUUAAGUUGAUUCGAGAUAGACUGAAGGUAGGCCAGUCCAGGCAGAAGAGUUAUGCAGACUCAAAAACUCAAGGAGGUAGUCUAUGAGAUUGGAGACAGAGCAUGUCUUCGUCCCCUCUACGAGGAGUUAAACAAUUUGUAGUUAAGGGAAAGUUAGCCCCGAGAUUUGUAGGACCAUACCGAGUUUUGGAGCGUAUGGAAGAAGUGGCCAACAAGUUGGAGUCACCCGAAGGACUGUCAGGAGCUCAUGAUAUGUUUCACGUUACACAGUUGAAGAAGUGUCAUGCAGAGAUGGCCAAUAUUCCCCUGUAAGGAUGUUUGACCCCUGGAAGGGAUAAUGAUAUUCCACGGAGUGGACUUCAGACAAAAUAAGUAUAAGUUUUUAUCUCGGUAUGUGGGAUAACCCACGAGGAUGAAGAGAUGAAUUACUAUUGGAUAUAAAGGAGGUAUGAUGUUGGUAUUAUGGAACGAUAAUAACUCCAUGAUGAGUCUGAGUAAUCACGUCUUAGUUUGGAACCAAUAGAAAGAAGAAGGAUCGUACAAUUGGAUGGAUUUAAGCAUGCUAGAAAGCUGGAUGUUGGAAUAAUGACUAGUUGCCCCGAGGAUGAGUUCAAGGACUACAAGUGACGAGAUGGGCCAUAACCCACAGGCCCCAGGACCUGCCAAGAGGCAAGCACACUCUUGCUGAAGGAAAAACCGUGGAAGGAGUUACGACUUUAUCAACCGACGAUUUUAUAGGAAUUUACGCAAAACCUGAGAGUUGUGAAGGAACGAUAGAUGUUUCUUUGGCUUGCAGAAUUGAUAGAUUUAUCCGAACCUUGGUUCAUCGACAAGAGAAAUUCUGCAAUGCUUGUGAGGAUGACCAAGUGUUAGAGUGCGAGAUUCACUAAACCGUAUACCGGGUAAUGAUUUGGGUGCGGGAUGGAUUGAUCACCAUACCGACUUACUCUUAUUAUCCGCCUUGCUAUAUGGGAGGGUAAAUCUGAGAGACUUACCUAUAGUAGAGAGACGACGAUCAAACCUUGUUUAAACCCUAGAAUGGUAUAAGAAUUUUUUUCCUUGUACACUGCAGCCUUUCCCAACCGUGGGUUAUACGGUGAGGAUCAACCCAGACCCAUUUCCUGCAGGAGAAACCAUAAAUUGUUGACCACCAUGAGAUAUUGAUAGUUGUUUAGUAUUGGCGCCAGACCCGUCAGCACAGAAGACCCAGUCUCGGAAUAACCCUACCAAGAAGAAAGGAUGCAGAAGAAUUGAGGAAAAGGUUAUGCCACUACCGGAAGAGUCAGGGAAGGAAUUAUACUGAAGAUCUGAGAAGACCGGCCCUGUCAAGAAUAAGGAUGGUGUAUAUGAGUGUUGAUGGGACCGUAACGAUGUUUCUAAGGGUGGUAGCACCCCAAACCCCGGUGAUGAUUGAUGGAUUUUGAGGAGACCCCCAAACCCUAACCUUUUCUUGCUAGCCUCUCCGAAUCUCGAGGACGAGAUUCAUUUUAAGGGUGGUAGGUUUGUAACAUCCCAAAAUUCUAAAUUUUGGAAUGUUAUAAUAAAUAGAUAGAUAGAUUGUUUGUUUGAUUGUGGUGUGAUUGAUUGAGUGAAAUUCGAAACCUUUUGAAAGUUAAAUGAGAGGGAAUAAAAGGACUUUCCCAAACUUUCAUUUUUGCAUUUAUGAUCUCCGUGAAUUCAAAUUCUUUUCACCACAAAACCCUGGAGAGAAGAUGACAUGACUUCUUCCAUUUAUUCAAAUGAAAAAGGGUUUUGAAAAGAUUUGAAUUUUAUUUGGAAAUAUUUCCAAUUCUGAAACUUUAUGCAACUCAAUGAUUUUCACGAGCGAAGAUAAAAUGACUUCUUCAAAACAUAUGAAAUAUGAGUUGGGAGUUUCAAAUGAUCAAAUUCAAAGUCCUUUUGGAAAUUAUUUUUAAUUUGGAGUUAUUUGGGUUUUAUUCAAAUUAUUUUUCUCCAAAAAUAAAAUACAUGGAAAAUAGGGUAACAUGAUUCCCUACAAUAGAAAAUUGGAGAGAAAUAAAUUUGAAUUCAUUUUGUUUUUUUAAAUGAUUUUUGUUGGAUUUUAUUAGACCAGUAGCACUCUUUGAAAUAUCUAAAUUUGUGUGAAUUUUAUUUAAUGCUAGGAAACUGUUCAUGCUGUAGACAAUAUUUUUAUGAAUUUUUUUGUCACACCCUAGCUAGUUCAUGCAUUAGAGUGUUGCAUCAUGUCUAUCCUUUCAUCAGAAACUUGAAAUGGGGAUGUCAGAACCCCCAGCCCCCUCUGAAACCAACCAGGGUUUACUAAAAACUUUUUCAAUGAACCUGAAAUGCCCUUCUAAAAUGUCCAUCAUUUUUGUCUUGGUUCAGAACCUCUGCCAAAAGUGUUGCACAAUUUUCUAGGUCAUUUUAGGGUCUUUGAAUUAAAUGAUAAGUAUUUGAAUUUGGGCAUUUAAAAUUAUAUAAAAUAUUUCAAAUGCUCAAAUAUUCCUAAACUGAAAUGUUUCAUGUUGGAAAUAUUCUAACUUUGGACCAGGAGCAGUUUGGUGAUUUUAGGAGUUGCCUAGGUAUUUUUUAUAAUUCAACAAAGUUGCAGAAAAAUAGAAAAAAAAAGAGACAGAAAGGAAGGACUUACCUGGCGCCUGCAACCCGGCCCACCUGCCGGCCCAGCCCAGCGCCGCGCCAGCGAGCUGCUUGCCGGCCAGCCAGGCAGGCAGGUGCUCGAUGGCGAGCACCGCAUGGGUGCCACGCACCUGCUCGCCGCCUCGCCGCUCCACUCGGCCGGCUAACGACGUGGAUCGCUCCCCCUCGCUCUCCCGAACCCUCCAGACACCUCCUCUCCUCUCCAGCUCCUCCCCCUCGCGCUCCCCAGCCAUGGCCGACGCCACCGCCGCCGCUCCAUCAUCGUAGCCGCGCUCCCCGCCGCCCGUGCUCCGUCUCGUGGUGUCCAGGAGCUCCGCCGCCGUCCACUUCGUCGAGCUAACCGAGCCCCGCGUGCUCGUGAGGCCCGAGUCCACCGCACCGACCCCGCCUGAGUUCGCCGUCGCCGGAGAUCCCCUUCAACGCCGUCACCGCAUCAGCUCGUCCCCGACCCCGCUGGUGGCCUCUACGGGUGCUCUGUGAGCCUAGCUACCCCUCCUACCCUUCCUCUCUCACCCCCGAGCCGUGUAGCCACCGCACGAAGAUCACCCGCACGCACCGCCGCGGAUCUCGUCGCCGACGUGCUCCCGGUCAUCCUCCGGCCAACUCACGGUGUCCAACGCACUCACCACGUUGCGUUGAGUCCAAUCGUGCACUUCCCGCACCUCACCGCACACCCUAGCCCCGAGUUCACCUUCACCCGAACUCCGGUGAUCGCCUAGGUCGUCGCCGGCGCCAACUCCGGUCACCCCGACCUCAACUCGCUCCACCAAGAGCUGCGGUUCGUCCCCAGCUCCACGUAGAUGCAUUCCGCGCCCCAUUUGGUGGCCGGAACGGCCAAAACCACUUCCGCCGCCGCGUCGGGCUCGCCGGCGGCUAAACACCGGUGCAGCCGUUUUGACUUUGACCACGGGUGGGCCCUGGUUGACUCUGUUGAGUCAGUGACAGGUGGGGCCCCCUUCUGCUAAUCAUCCAGAUUAGUUUAAACUAAAUUAAAUUAGUUAAUUAUCCACUGACACCCUGGACCCACGCGUCAGGUUUGACCUGGACCGGGUCUGUUGACUUGCUGAGGUCAGCAUGACCUCAUGCUGACGCAGUAAACCUUUUCUGAGUUUAAAAUAAAUCUAAAAUGAUUUAUAAAUUCCAGAAAUUGUUGCAAACUUCAAAAAUCCAUAUAAAUUCAACCGUAGCUCCAAAUCAAACAAAUUAUAUAUGAAAAAUGAUCAGAAAAAUCCAAUCUAUCCAUCUGUACUAGUUUCAUGCAUGUUUAAACAAACUAACUUGAGGUCUAGUGCAGAACAAGAUAAAACACUUUAAAGGGCCAUUUAUGAGUUUGAAAUUUGAAUCUUUGGUUCAAAUUGAUUCAAACCCAUCUGGUUUUAGUUGCAUUAGCCCAACACAAUCAUAUUGCCAUGUUUCAUGCAUGCAUCAUAUUGUCGCACAUUGUUUGGUGAUGGUUGUGUAUCGGUGUUCUUUGCGGCAGGUUCUGCCUCCGAGGAGUACCGUGAUUACCCUAGCGAAGAACCGUAUCCGUGCAUCGAUCCAUCAGGCAAGCAACCAACCAUUUGAUCAUAUCGAUACAAUCCCAUGUUCUCGCUCUUGCUCUCUUUUACUGCAUUAAGACAACGCGUUUUAAACUGCUGUGUGCUACGGUAGUUGAACCCAUUUCCUCUGCAUGACCUGUCAUUGCCACAGUAAUUAGAUGAAACCCACUAGCAUGUGUAGGAAUUGAUUGAGCCAUAUGUUUGUGUUGUUCCUACCUUGCUAUGCCUGCUAUGCUUAGAGUCGUGUCAGGUCUGGUUCAUCUGGGUGAUGGCUAGAGUGAAAUGAUCAUGUCGGUAAUGAGAGUGAUGUGGUGAACACGAUUUGGUAAAGGUAUCGAUGAGAGGCCAUGUAGGAGUACAUGGUGGGUUGUUUCAUUGAAGCCGACCUUAAGAACUGAGAUCUGUAUGCCUGAUUUAAGAUUCAGCUACUACCAUGCAUUGGGCCCUGAAAUAUGACCCCGCUCGACUUCUUAUUCACCCUAGUCCUCUGUCUAGGAGUUGCAAGUAGUUUCUGGUGUUUGUAGCUUACUGGAGGCCGUGGACAGCACUGACCCGCGGGAUGGGCUGUGAUGCGGUAGGUACGUGGCACGGUGUAUCGAAUACCCGUUAGGUAUCUUGGGAACCCUGUACACAUCGUUCGGGGACGUAUGGGAAACCUCGGCCGGACUCCCUGCGGAUGGAACCUGGAUAGGCGAUAAACCUGGACUAGAUACUUAGGUGUUUAGGUAGGUCGUGGUCUACACCCACGCCGGCUUUCGCUUGAAGUCUGCCGAGCACAUGUCGUGUGCAGACGCUAAGUGGUGGAAACAUGUAUGAAGAAGUACACCCCUGCAGGGUUAACAUGAUCUAUUCGAAUAGCCGCGUCCGCGGUAAAGUACUACUUGGUUGCUUAUACAGUUCAUAGACAAGUGAAUGGAUACUACUAAAAAUCUCAAGAUAAGCGUGAGUGCCGAGGAUGGCCCUUCCGUAGGAUGACGGAGGUGGAUCCUCGGUGGUGUAUUGAAGUGGUGAGUAGUGGACUCGUGUGCGCAAAACCAUUUCAAGUUGGAGUCUCGUAGGAUAGUUUAGCCAAGAGUCAAAGCUGGCUUGCUGCAAUAACCCCACCAACCCUUCUUGAUAAUGUGCAUGUAUGUAGGAUCUGACGUAAGUCUUGCUGGGUACCUUUGUACUCAUGUUGCUAUAAUUUACAUUUUACAGAAGGCGCUGCAACCCCUUCUGAUGGGUUCUUCGUAGACGUUGACAUCGACGAGUAGACUAAGGCCCAGGUGGUAAUCCUGAGCUUGUGAAGGUCCACGUAGUAUAGCUAGGCUUUCCAAGCCUCUUUUAUUUUACUAGUUGUCUGUACUCAGACAAGUUACUUCCGCUGCUGGUUUGUAUGAUGGUAUGACUUGAAUGUGGGUCGUGUGACCCGUACUUGUAUGUAUGUUAUGUAUGGCUCUCUGAGCCUUUAGAUAAAGUACUUGUGUCGUAGAGUCAUGUUGUGAUGCCUUGUUGUAUUUGCACAUAUCGAGCAUAUUGUGUGUAUGAUUGAAAUGCUUGGUAUGUGUGGGAUCUGACUAUCUAGUUGUUUAUCUUUAGUAGCCUCUCUUACCGGGAAAUGCUCCUAGUGUUUCCAUUGAGCCAUGGUAGCUUGCUACUGCUCCGGAACACUUAGGCUGGCCGGCAUGUGUCCUUCUUCGUUCCUGUGUCUGUCCCUUCGGGGAAAUGUCACGCAUUGAGUACCGGAGCCCUGUUAGCCCGCUACAGCCCGGUUUACCGGAGUCCUGCUAGCCCAAUGCUACAGCCCGGACCCACUUGCUGAUGACCGACACGUUCGAUGCUGGGUCAUGGAUGCCUGUCCCUGUAAGUCUGUGCCACUUUGGGUUUACGACUAGUCAUGUCAGCCCGGGCUCCUUAUCAUAUGGAUGCUAGCGACAUCAUCAUAUACGUGAGCCAAAAGGCGCAAACAGUCCCGGGCAAAGGUAAGGUGACGCCCGUGGGAAUACCGUGCAUGAGGCCGCAAAGUGAUAUGAGGUGUUACAGGCUAGAUCGAUGUGACAUUGAGUCGGGGUCCUGACAACGUUGGCAUCAGAGCCGGACUGCCUGUAGGUUUUCCAAGCCAAACUGGUCGAUGUUGAGUCUAGAAAUGCUUUAGUUAUAUGUAGGGGAAUUGAUUGUGGGAUGGUACGUAAGGCUCUUUUUACUUCUUUACUUCAUGGCAUUCUGAUCUGAGUCAGUCCAUUCUUCUACCGGGGAUUAAGGAUUAGGAUCUUCUCUCUCUAUCAGGUUCACGUGUUACGAAUCAGUAGUACCUUAUAGGUUUGAUGACUACAAGCCUAGUUCAGUUCUACUACCUUGUUAUGCUGAUAAGUGAACCCAGAACCUUGAUAUGAUAUUGUUGAGUGUCUAUGCAAUUUUUUGAUAAAUUUCUCAAACCCUUCUUGAGCAUUUACAGCCGUUAUGCUGUCGAAAUAUUGCUAGAAAUUCUAAUGCCUUUGCAUUAUGGUUGUGCUUUCAGAUGGCCACUCGCGACCAAAAUCAAGUGGUUCGCCUGACCCGAUGCAUUGGUGUGACCGGUCAUACGGCCAUGUUAGUCCGAGUGAUGAUCGAGACGGGUUACCGUUGGUAUCCCGAAUACACGGUCGAAGAGCAGUUUCGAGAUUUUAACCAAAGCCAGUAUCUUUGCACCGUCCGGAUAUUUCCCUCUUAUCCUGGUUCUACCGAGGCUCUUCACUGUUCCUAUGGGCUCGGUGUUACUAUUGAGAUGGCUAUGCAAGAUGCGGCUUAUUCUAUGAUGACCAUCAUGCGAGUCAGGACUGGCCUGCUUCGCAACACCGACUUCCGGUAUAUGCCGGCUUCACUUCCUGGAGCGCACGGUUAUCUCCGGGCUAUCUAUGCUGACCCCAGUCAGGAGGACUCACUAACUCGCACCACUGCUGAGUUGCUCGAGGAUAAGGACCGAGAGAAUCGGGCCUUGAGAAUGGAGCUUUUCAACACCUGCGCCGAUCAUUGGGCCACCUUGACUCGGUUUGCACCGGCUGUGCAAGCUGGAUGCAUGGAUAUGAGAGAUCUGUAUCCUGUUAGGUCUGCUCUGCCGGACAUGAUGGAUUGGCGUGAUGUGGGAGGCAUCACCCCACCUCGUGGUCCUCGCAGGCCACCGUUUGUUGGUCCAAGACCUCACCCUAGCCCUUUUGGUCCACAGGCUCCUCAGGACCAUUUGUUUCCGGAUGCUCACGUUGAACUUCCAGGCUAUGGAGGAGACUUCUAUGAGAACUACUACGGAGAUGACUGAGAUAGUAGUAGAUCCACUAGGUAUUGUAAUAGUUGUAUUUCCACCGUCCUGCGUGACUUGUGGAAUAUGACUUAGCGGGUAGUAAUUCCGGGGGUGUAGGAAAAAUAAUGUAUAGGAGCUUGGGAUGCCUCCGAUGAUAUGUAAUCCUCCUCUCACCAUAGUAGUACUUGUUUGUCUUGUACUAAACCUCGUAUGGUGUGUAUGACAAUGGAAUAAAAGAAGUAGUUUCUGUAUCUACCAUGUCAUACGGAUGAUCAUCUUGCAUUCUGAGUUGUCCAUUACAUUCUACAUUCUAUGUCGGAAUCUUGUCAUGUUGGACUAAACCAUUGUCUUGUUUUUCCUAGGAUGGUCAACACCCGCAACAACCCUGCUCCCCCAGAGCAGGCCGAAGGCAGCAGAGUUGGGGAUACAAAUCUGCCUCACCCUCCCUCUCUGGCAGAAGUUAUGCUAGAGGCUGAGAGAAACAAGCGGGAGACCAACCGUUUGUUGGAGCAUAUUGAACAGAACACAGCACACCAUCAGAGGACUAACUUGGUGUCACUCAGUGAUUUCAUCAAGUUACAUCCACCCACGUUCCACCACUCCGUCGAGCCUCUCGACGCUGAUGACUGGCUUUGCAGUAUUUCUCACAAACUGCGUUCUGCGCUAGUAGCUGAGGCUGACAAGGUCACCUUUGCUGCAUAUCAUCUUGAAGGCCCCGCCAGUCUCUGGUGGGAGAAUUAUGAAGCUAUGCGCCCAGCAGGCCACGUCACUACUUGGGCUGAAUUCAGCGAGGCUUUCCGUGAACAUCACAUUCCGGAGGGUCUCAUGGACCGUAAACGUGAGGAGUUCUGUAGUUUCACUCAAGGUCGACUCUCUGUUGACGCUUACAGCAGGGAGUUUGGUAACCUUGCCCGUUAUGCAACGGAGGAAGUUUCUACUGAUGCCAAGAAGCAGGCAAGGUUCCGUAAGGGGCUUAGUUCUGAGCUUCGCCGCGACCUCCGUCUGCAUGAGUGCACAUCUUUUCAGAAGCUUGUUAACAAAGCCAUCAGUGCUGAGACUGGUCAGACUGAUUAUGAAGCAACUUGGGAAAGGGAGGAUCGUCUUCGACUCGAGUAUCCCGCCUUCUUCCCGGAGGAACCCAAAUCUCGGGACGAGAUUCUUUUGAGCGGGGGUGAGUUGUCACACCCUAGCUAGUUCAUGCAUUAGAGUGUUGCAUCAUGUCUAUCCUUUCAUCAGAAACUUGAAAUGGGGAUGUCAGAACCCCCAGCCCCCUCUGAAACCAACCAGGGUUUACUAAAAACUUUUUCAAUGAACCUGAAAUGCCCUUCUAAAAUGUCCAUCAUUUUUGUCUUGGUUCAGAACCUCUGCCAAAAGUGUUGCACAAUUUUCUAGGUCAUUUUAGGGUCUUUGAAUUAAAUGAUAAGUAUUUGAAUUUGGGCAUUUAAAAUUAUAUAAAAUAUUUCAAAUGCUCAAAUAUUCCUAAACUGAAAUGUUUCAUGUUGGAAAUAUUCCAACUUUGGACCAGGAGCAGCUUGGUGAUUUUAGGAGUUGCCUAGGUAUUUUUUAUAAUUCAACAAAGUUGCAGAAAAAUAGAAAAAAAAGACAGAAAGGAAGGACUUACCUGGCGCCUGCAACCCGGCCCACCUGCCGGCCCAGCCCAGCGCCGCGCCAGCGAGCUGCUUGCCGUCCAGGCAGGCAGGCAGGUGCUCGACGGCGAGCACCGCAUGGGUGCCACGCACCUGCUCGCCGCCUCGCCGCUCCACUCGCCCGGCUAACGACGUGGAUCGCUCCCCCUCGCUCUCCCGAACCCCCCAGACACCUCCUCUCCUCUCCAGCUCCUCCCCAUCGCGCUCCCCAGCCAUGGCCGACGCCACCGCCGCCGCUCCAUCGUCGUAGCCGCGCUCCCCGCCGCCCGUGCUCCAUCUCGUGGUGUCCAGGAGCUCCGCCGCCGUCCACUUCGUCGAGCUAACCGAGCCCCGCGUGCUCGUGAGGCCCGAGUCCACCGCACCGACCUCGCCCGAGUUCGCCGUCGCCGGAGAUCCCCUUCAACGCCGUCACCGCAUCAGCUCGUCCCCGACCCCGCCGGUGGCCUCUACGGGUGCUCUGUGAGCCUAGCUACCCCUCCUACCCUUCCUCUCUCACCCCCGAGCCGUGUAGCCACCACACGAAGAUCACCCGCACGCACCACCGCGGAUCUCGUCGCCGACGUGCUUCCGGCCAUCCUCCGGCCAACUCACGGUGUCCAACGCACUCACCAUGUUGCGUUGAGUCCAACCGUACACUUCCCGCACCUCACCGCACACCCUAGCCCCGAGUUCGCCUUCACCCGAACUCCGGUGACCGCCUAGGUCGUCGCCGGCGCCAACUCCGGCCACCCCGACCUCAACUCGCUCCACCAAGAGCUGCGGUUCGUCCCCAGCUCCACGUAGAUGCCUUCCGCACCCCAUUUGGUGGCCGGAACGGCCAAAACCACUUCCGCCGCCACGUCGGGCUCGCCGGCGGCUAAACACCGGUGCAGCCGUUUUGACUUUGACCACGGGUGGGCCCUGGUUGACUCUGUUGAGUCAAUGACAGGUGGGGCCCCCUUCUGCUAAUCAUCCAGAUUAGUUUAAACUAAAUUAAAUUAGUUAAUUAUCCACUGACACCCUGGACCCACGCGUCAGGUUUGACCUGGACCGGGUCUGUUGACUUGCUGAGGUCAGCAUGACCUCAUGCUGACGCAGUAAACCUUUUCUGAAUUUAAAAUAAAUCUAAAAUGAUUUAUAAAUUCCAGAAAUUGUUGCAAACUUCAAAAAUUCAUAUAAAUUCAACCGUAGCUCCAAAUCAAACAAAUUAUAUAUGAAAAAUGAUCAGAAAAAUCCAAUCUAUCCAUCUGUACAAGUUUCAUGCAUGUUUCAACAAAGUAACUUGAGGUUUAGUGCAGAACAAGAUAAAACACUUUAAAGGGCCAUUUAUGAGUUUGAAAUUUGAAUCUUUGGUUCAAAUUGAUUCAAACCCAUCUGGUUUUAGUUGCAUUAGCCCAACACACUCAUAUUGCCAUGUUUCAUGCAUGCAUCAUAUUGUCGCACAUUGUUUGGUGAUGGUUGUGUAUCGGUGUUCUUUGAGGCAGGUUCUGCCUCCGAGGAGUACCAUGAUUACCCUAGCGAAGAACCGUAUCCGUGCAUCGAUCCAUCAGGCAAGCAACCAACCAUUUGAUCAUAUCGAUACAAUCCCAUGUUCUCGCUCUUGCUCUCUUUUACUGCAUUAAGACAACGCGUUUUAAACUGCUGUGUGCUACGGUAGUUGAACCCAUUUCCUCUGCAUGACCUGUCAUUGCCACAGUAAUUAGAUGAAACCCACUAGCAUGUGUAGGAAUUGAUUGAGCCAUAUGUUUGUGUUGUUCCUACCUUGCUAUGCCUGCUAUGCUUAGAGUCGUGUCAGGUCUGGUUCAUCUGGGUGAUGGGCUAGAGUGAAAUGAUCAUGUCGGUAAUGAGAGUGAUGUGGUGAACACGAUUUGGUAAAGGUAUCGAUGAGAGGCCAUGUAGGAGUACAUGGUGGGUUGUUUCAUUGAAGCCGACCUUAAGAACUGAGAUCUGUAUGCGUGAUUUAAGAUUCAGCUACUACCAUGCAUUGGGCCCUGAAAUAUGACCCCGCUCGACUUCUUAUUCACCCUAGUCCUCUGUCCAGGAGUUGCACGUAGUUUCUGGUGUUUGUAGCUUACUGGAGGCCGUGGACAGCGCUGACCCGCGGGGUGGGCUGUGAUGCGGUAGGUACGUGGCACGGUGUAUCAAAUACCCGUUAGGUAUCUUGGGAACCCUGUACACAUCGUUAGGGGCCGUAUGGGAAACCUCGGCCGGACUCCCUGCGGAUGGAACCUGGAUAGGCGAUAAACCUGGACUAGAGACUUAGGUGUUUAGGUAGGUCGUGGUCUACACCCACGCCGGCUUUCGCUUGAAGUCUGCCGAGCACAUGUCGUGUGCAGACGCUAAGUGGUGGAAACAUGUAUGAAGAAGUACACCCCUGCAGGGUUAACAUGAUCUAUUCGAAUAGCCGCGCCCGCGGUAAAGUACUACUUGGUUGCUUAUACAGUUCAUAGACAAGUGAAUGGAUACUACUAAAAAUCUCAAGAUAAGCGUGAGUGCCGAGGAUGGCCCUUCCGUAGGAUGACGGAGGUGGAUCCUCGGUGGUGUAUUGAAGUGGUGAGUAGUGGACUCGUGUGCGCAAAACCAUUUCAAGUUGGAGUCUUGUAGGAUAGUUUAGCCAAGAGUCAAAGCUGGCUUGCUGCAAUAACCCCACCAACCCUUCUUGAUAAUGUGCAUGUAUGUAGGAUCUGACGUAAGUCUUGUUGGGUACCUUUGUACUCAUGUUGCUAUAAUUUACAUUUUACAGAAGGCGCUGCAACCCCUUCUGAUGGGUUCUUCGUAGACGUUGACAUCGACGAGUAGACUAAGGCCCAGGUGGUAAUCCUGAGCUUGUGAAGGUCCACGUAGUAUAGCUAGGCUUUCCAAGCCUCUUUAAUUUUACUAGUUGUCUGUACUCAGACAAGUUACUUCCGCUGCUGGUUUGUAUGACUGUAUGACUUGAAUGUGGGUUGUGUGACCCGUACUUGUAUGUAUGUUAUGUAUGGCUCUCUGAGCCUUUAGAUAAAGUACUUGUGUCGUAGAGUCAUGUUGUGAUGCCUUGUUGUAUUUGCACAUAUCGAGCAUAUUGUGUGUAUGAUUGAAAUGCUUGGUAUGUGUGGGAUCUGACUAUCUAGUUGUUUAUCUUUAGUAGCCUCUCUUACCGGGAAAUGUCUCCUAGUGUUUCCAUUGAGCCAUGGUAGCUUGCUACUGCUCCGGAACACUUAGGCUGGCCGGCAUGUGUCCUUCUUCGUUCCUGUGUCUGUCCCUUCGGGGAAAUGUCACGCAUUGAGUACCGGAGCCCUGUUAGCCCGCUACAGCCCGGUUUACUGGAGUCCUGCUAGCCCAGUGCUACAGCCCGGACCCACUUGCUGAUGACCGACACGUUCGAUGCUGGGUCAUGGAUGCCUGUCCCUGUAAGUCUGUGCCACUUUGGGUUUACGACUAGUCAUGUCAGCCCGGGCUCCUUAUCAUAUGGAUGCUAGCGACAUCAUCAUAUACGUGAGCCAAAAGGCGCAAACGGUCCCGGGCAAAGGUAAGGCGACGCCCGUGGGAAUACCGUGCGUGAGGCCGCAAAGUGAUAUGAGGUGUUACAGGCUAGAUCGAUGUGACAUUGAGUCGGGGUCCUGACAUUUUUGAUAUAUUAUAUGCCUAUAGUUUAUUUUUUUGUGGUUAUUCGUAUUUUUGCUGUUAGUAAAAAAUGUUUAAAAAAACCUUUCUCUUCGGGCCGACUAAACUGGGCCGCACCCCGCCUAGCCGGCCCAGCGCACCGUCUCCCUCGCGUACCCGAGCGGGACUCCCGCCGGAGUCCGGCACCGACCUCGCCGCCUUUGCCCCUCGCCCACGCAUCGCCUGCCCCCUCCCCUCCUUAAAAGGCGGUCCCGGUCCCCACCUCUCUCCUUGCCGUGCCGCGCCGCCCCACCCGCAUCGCGCCACCGCCCCGCGCUGCAGAUCGCCACUCACCGCCGGCGAGAUCCGCCGCUCCGCCGCUGCAGCCGCCUCCUUGCUGCGCCGCCGCCUGCCAGUAAACCGGAGUAACCACCCCAUCGCUGGUUUUGUCUUCGUGAACCGGUAUAAACCGUAAACCCGUUCGAUUUCUUUUCUUUAGCUCGGUUUAUUUCUUUUGAUCGGUUUUUCUUUUAGUUAGAUCUAAAUAGUGAAUGUUCGCUAGAUUAGGUCCUCACAGUGAAAGGAUUCGUCUGUUAGCGUUCUGCAACGAACGUUCGGUAUUUAAGUCUUUCUUUUUCUAUUUUAAUUCCACCAGGGACCUAUCCAUGAAUUCUUUUCUUACAGAUUAGUCCCUCUGCUUCAAACGAUAACUACUUUUUACCCGUUUAUCCAAAUCCAACGAAACCAACGCCCACUUCUUCGUUAUGAUCCCCUCUAUCCAGUAAAACAACUUGAACAUAUUUUUGAAAGUUUUAAAAUUUGAAUUCAAACAGUUUUGUAUUUGAACUUUGUUUGAUCAUAACUUGAGUUUUAUAACUCCGUUUGAGUUGAUUCUUUUUGCAAAUCGAAGCUCUUGACCUACACUUUCUGAUAAGGCCAAAUUCACAUAAUUUUGGUACUGUUAGAAAUUAUUUUAUGUUGCAAGUGUUAUUUGCUUGGUUUAGAAGUUUUCCGAAUCGUCUUCUUCGAUCUUUCUGAUCUGUUGAGUGAUUGCUUAUGUGUGGUUCUAUUGCUUGCGUACGAUAGAUUGACCGGAGUGUGACGAGUAGAUCUAUCAAGAGUUAUGAGUGCGAAUCAUCUUCAUCAACAUUGCAGGCAAGUUCACACUUUGAUCAUAUCUCUUUCAUACCUAGUUUUUAUGCAUUAGUUUCACCCUCAAACAUUGCAUGGUUAGGACUUGAUAACAUGUGGGUAUUGGGAAGUAGUUGAUGAGGUAGGAACCUAUUGCCCUGUUACUAUCAAACCCCUGGGAGUUACUAUUACGUUAUGCUUAUGCUGCUAUGCUAUGCUCGUAGACGUGGUUUGGGUGAGUGAAAUCCAUGACAGAUGUGAGGUUGUUAAUAAUGGUUUACUUAAGGUGGCAACUUUAACACACAUCUGGGUGGAUUGAGGCACCUGGGUAUUCCAACGAUUGCUUGUUUUUCUUUAUGGACCGCCACCCAGGCUCAAAGGGAUCAUGAGAUUAUUCAUGCUAGAAACUUCCGUGUGCAGCCACAAGCUACUAUGGGCUCUAACAUAGUUGAUUAAGUCAUGCGAACUCUUACAGUGGUAGACUAGCAGAUGUAGGGGAAAGUAGGUGUAACGGUCUACCCAAUCGUAAGGUGCUAGCGCUUCUGAAAGACUAUGUCUCAGUCAUCCGUUUCUCAAACAUCAUGUAGUGCGAGAAUCCCAACGGAGGAGAUCGAGUCUUAUGGGGAAAAGUGUGCAAACCUCUGCAGAGUGUACAAACUAAUCAUGGUUAGCCGUGUCCUCGGUUAUGGACAAUCUUGAGUCUCUGGUACUUGGAUUAUCAUAUUGAUAUCAUCACGUUACUUAAAUAAUUUGUUGGAUUAUUGAUGUUAAUUUGGGAUUGAGUUGGAGGAACCUUCUCAAUAUUUUCAACCAACUUUGUAGUUAAAUAAAAUAUAUUCCUUGCAGUAGGGAAAAAUUGGCUUUUCGCAAAAACAUUAUAACCAUAGAGCUUUUCCACGAGCCAAAUAUGCAUGUAGUGAUAGUUAUUAUUCAUCAUUAUCCUAUGGUGUGAAUUUGCCAGUGCAUUGAAUGUACCGACCCUCUGUGGCUGCAACGUCUCAUGUUGCAGGAUUUUUUACGACGAGUAAGUGAUACGUUAGGGUUACAAUUUCUACACUCAACUUUGUCGUUGGUGUUGAUGGGAAUCCACAACCUUGUUAUUACUUCCGCUAUUGGAUUGAGGUAAUAGUAUUUACAUUAUUUUAUACAUGUGAUUUACCUCUGUUAUAAAUCCUCGAGUACCAUGUGUGUCAGCAUACCGAUCACGGGAUGACACUUAAGCACAGAGACUUGACCGUCUAAGGUCGGGUCGCUACAAAUUCAUCUAUCUGAUUUUUUCUCCCCGAAACCAAAUAUAUAGAGUUGGAGUUGAGGUCGGAGGAGCUCCAAGGGGCCCACGAGGUAGGGGGCGCGCCCUAGGGGGGCAGGCGUGCCCCACCCUCGUGGACAGGUGGUGGGCCCCCUGGUCUUCAUCUUUUGCAAGGAUUUAUUAUUAUUUCUGAAUAGAUGUUCCGUGAAGUUUCAGGUCAUUCCGAGAACUUUUGUUUCUGCACAUAAAUAACACCAUGGUAAUUCUGCUGAAAACUGCGUCAGUCCGGGUUAGUUCCAUUCAAAUCAUGCAAGUUAGAGUCCAAAACAAGGGCAAAAGUGUUUGGAAAAGUAGAUACGACAGAGACGUAUCACAUAUCACAUCACAGCAAGCCCUUUAAAAACAAGUUAGAUGUCCUGUACUUUGUUGUUGCAAGUUUUACGUGGCUGCUACGGGCUUCUAGCAAGAACCAUUCUUACCUACGCAUCAAAACCACAACAAUUUUUCGUCAAGUGUGUUGUUUUAACCUUAAACAAGGACCAGGCGUAGCCAAACUCGACUCAACUAAAGUUGGAGAAAUAGACACCCUCCAACCACCUGUGUGCGAAGCACGUCGGUAGAACCAGUCUCAUGAACGCGGUCAUGUAAUGUCGGUCCGGGCUGCUUCAUCCAACAAUACCGCCAAAUCAAAGUAAGACGUUGCUGGUAAGCAGUAUGACUAUUAUUGCCCACAACUCAUUGUGUUCUACUCAUGCAUAUAACAUGUAACGCCCUCGAUGCGGCUAUAGCUCCCACGUGUCGAGGCACGACUUAGAGGCAUAACCGCAUUGAAAGCAAUGUUGCAAGUCAGGCAGUCAUUACAACAUCCCAUGUAAUAUAUAAUAAAAGGGGAAGAUAACAUAGUUGGCUUACACUCGCCACGUCACAUCAGAGUACAUAAAUAACAUCCAUCAAACAAGCACUCAUGGCCCGACUACGGCGCCAAAAUAGAAAAGAACCCAACAUGCGACAAGGUCCUGAAUCGACAACCCCAACUAGGCACCACUACUGAUCAUCCGGAAAAGACACAUAGUAACGCUAAGAGUCCUCAUCGAACUCCCACUGAAGCUCGUAAUCGUCAACUGGAGCAGAAACACCUGGACCUGCACCUGGAGUUGUAAUAUCUGUGAGCCACAGGGACUCAGCAAUCUCACACCCACGCGAUCAAAACUAUUUAAGCUCAUGGGAAUGGAUAAGGCGAAUAUAGGUGGAGCUGCAGCAGGCGACUAGCAUAUAUGGUGGCUAACUUAUACGCAAAAGAGAGCGAGAAGAGAAGGCGAAGCACGAUCGAUAAAAGUAUGAUCAAGAAGUGAUCCUGGACUACCUACGUCAAGCAUAACUCCAACAACCGUGUUCACUUCCCGGGCCCCGCCGGAAAGAGACCAUCACGGUUACACACGCGGUUGACGUAUUUUAAACAAGGUCAACUUCGGGUUUUCUACAACCGGACGUUAACAAAUUCCCAUCUGCCCAUAACCGCGGGCACGGCUUUCGAAAGUUCAAUCCCUGCAGGGGAGUCCCAACUUAGCCCAUGACAAGCUCUCACGGUCAACGAAGGAAUAGACCUCCACCCGAGACAUUCCGAUCAGACUCGGUAUCCCGGUACAACAAGACAUUUCGAUAGGGUAAAACUAAACCAGCAACACCGCCCGAAUGUGCCGACAAAUCCCGAUAGGAGCUGCACAUAUCUCUUUCUCAGGGCACACUCAGAUUGUCCUAGGUACGGGUAGGCCAGCCCAGAGUUGCCCCUGGUAGCCAUCGGUAGCUGACAGGUGGACCAACACUCAGAGGAGCACUGGCCCGGGGGGGUAAAAUAAGAUGACCCUUGAGUCUGCAGAACCCAAGGGAAAGAAAAGGCUAGGUGGCAAAUGGUAAAACCAAUGUUGGGCAUUGCUGGAAGAGCUUUACUUAAGACGAACUGUCAAGGGGUUCCCAUAAUAGCCCAACCGUGUAAGGAACGCAAAAUCCGGGAACAUAACACCGAUAUGACGUAAACUAGGGCGGCAAGAGUGGAACAAAACACCAGGCAUAAGGCCGAGCCUUCCACCCUUUACCAAGUAUAUAGAUGCAUUAAUUAAGUAAGAUAUAUUGUGAUAUCCCAACAAGUAAAUAAAAGUUCCAACAAGGAACGGCUCCAAUCUUCACCUGCAACUAACAACGCUAUAAGAAGGGCUGAGCAAAGCGGUAACAUAGCCAAUCAACGGUUUGCUAGGACAAUGGUGGGUUAGGGGAUCAACAUGGCAAUUGGGAGGCUGACAAGCAAAAAGGUAGGCAUCGUAGCAGUGGCAAAGCAAAAGAGCGAGCAAACUAGCAUAGCAAAGAUAGUAGUGAUUUCGAGGGUAUGAUCAUCUUGCCUGCACAGUUGUCCGAGUUGACUGGAUCCUCACAAGCAAACUCAACGGGCUCCUCGGUAGCGAACUCGUCUCCCGGCUCUACCCAACAAGACAAACAAGCAACAAGUACCCAAUCAAUCACGGGCAAGACCAAGCAAUAUGAUGAAAUGACGAUAUGCUAUGCGGGAUGCGAUGCGGGAUGCAAAAUGCAAGAUAUGACAGGAAAUGCAUGAACCUGGCAUAAACUUGGAAAACCAAGUGUGCCACUGGAUAGAGGGGAUGAAAUCGCUUGAAAACGAUAUGAAGAUCAAAGGAAUCGGAGCUACGGUUUAGAAAUGGCAAGCGUUUUAAGAUAUGACACCGGUCUGUGAUUUGCAGCAAGUAGGCAUCUAAAUGCAACGAAAAGAACAUGCUACAGCCACCAAACAUGAAAACAAAAUACAUGGCAGUGAUGUACACAAGAUGGUUGACAAAACACUAGCACUGAGCCAUAGGCAAAUUCAUCCAUUAAGAGGUUCAAACAAGCAUGGCUAAAACGCAAAUGCAAAACAGAUUUCAGACUUAGUGAAAUUAACACUAGUCUGAAAUUUCAGAUCACGAUGCUCUCUUCGGAGCAGCAAAACAACAUGAUAGAAAACCUGAACAUGACAAGUAAGAACAUGGCAUGGAGCUAUUCAACAAGCUUAAUAAAACACCCAAAGUGACCUGGGGCCAAAAGGGUUCACAAAAUACCCUACCGAGCUCACGAACAUCGCUCGAACACAAUCAGUUUUCAGACUUAGUGAAAACUGAGACAUGCUGAAAUUUAACUCACGAAGGCAUGUAAACGAGCUCGAUGCACUCACUACGGUGCAAGUCAUGGCAAGGAAAUCAUAUAACCAGCAAGAAGGCACAAAGUGCUAGCUACACAUGGCAAGAACGAAGGCAUAGCAUGUAUGGAACACUAACGGUAGCAUCGGCUAAAUCGCAAACGAGUUGACGAUCUGCCCAGAUUAACAACGAAGCAAAAGUUGAGCUCGAAUGAGUCAACCUAGAGCACUCCACAAAUGCAAACAAAGACAAGGAUGGAUAGAGCAUGACAUAAAUAUCAAAACUCCCUUACUGAUCAUCCUCAAAAGAGGCACGGAUCACUAGGAAACAAGCUGGACAUAUAGCAUCAUGAACUAAAAUAUCCCAGACUUAGUGAAAAACACUAAGUCCCUGAAAUCUGCAAUCUCAGGUACCUCUCUUCGCAAGCUUGCACAAGACAACACACACAUCCUAAAAAUGCAUGGGUGGCACCUCUGGAAAGAAGACAAAAUGCUUCACAAUACAUCCCAAAGGGGCACAGGCAUAUCAUGCACGAAUUAAACAUGGCAAAAAUGACAAAAGUGCAUGAUGAACUAACGGAUCUGCAAUUUAACUCACGAAGCCUCCUUCUAACAGCAUUUUGGGUAUCAAGAUGACCUCAAAUGCAAAUGAUGCAAUGGAANNNNNNNNNNNNNNNNNNNNNNNNNNNNNNNNNNNNNNNNNNNNNNNNNNNNNNNNNNNNNNNNNNNNNNNNNNNNNNNNNNNNNNNNNNNNNNNNNNNNNNNNNNNNNNNNNNNNNNNNNNNNNNNNNNNNNNNNNNNNNNNNNNNNNNNNNNNNNNNNNNNNNNNNNNNNNNNNNNNNNNNNNNNNNNNNNNNNNNNNNNNNNNNNNNNNNNNNNNNNNNNNNNNNNNNNNNNNNNNNNNNNNNNNNNNNNNNNNNNNNNNNNNNNNNNNNNNNNNNNNNNNNNNNNNNNNNNNNNNNNNNNNNNNNNNNNNNNNNNNNNNNNNNNNNNNNNNNNNNNNNNNNNNNNNNNNNNNNNNNNNNNNNNNNNNNNNNNNNNNNNNNNNNNNNNNNNNNNNNNNNNNNNNNNNNNNNNNNNNNNNNNNNNNNNNNNNNNNNNNNNNNNNNNNNNNNNNNNNNNNNNNNNNNNNNNNNNNNNNNNNNNNNNNNNNNNNNNNNNNNNNNNNNNNNNNNNNNNNNNNNNNNNNNNNNNNNNNNNNNNNNNNNNNNNNNNNNNNNNNNNNNNNNNNNNNNNNNNNNNNNNNNNNNNNNNNNNNNNNNNNNNNNNNNNNNNNNNNNNNNNNNNNNNNNNNNNNNNNNNNNNNNNNNNNNNNNNNNNNNNNNNNNNNNNNNNNNNNNNNNNNNNNNNNNNNNNNNNNNNNNNNNNNNNNNNNNNNNNNNNNNNNNNNNNNNNNNNNNNNNNNNNNNNNNNNNNNNNNNNNNNNNNNNNNNNNNNNNNNNNNNNNNNNNNNNNNNNNNNNNNNNNNNNNNNNNNNNNNNNNNNNNNNNNNNNNNNNNNNNNNNNNNNNNNNNNNNNNNNNNNNNNNNNNNNNNNNNNNNNNNNNNNNNNNNNNNNNNNNNNNNNNNNNNNNAGUCUUGAAGCACUUUCGAAGCUGAGAGACAUGGAACACAUCAUGAACAUUUGCAAAGUUUGAAGGAAGCUCGAGUUGAUAGGCGAGGUCGCCUCUCUUGCUGACAAUCUUGAAAGGUCCCACGUAUCUAGGGGCAAGCUUCCCUUUGAUACCGAAGCGACGAGUACCUUUCAUGGGAGAGACGCGGAGGUAAACAUGAUCUCCGAUCUCGAAAACCAGAUCACGGUGCUUACUAUCAUAGUAGCACUUCUGGCGGGAUUGAGCUGCUUUGAGGUUAUCACGAAUGACUUUGCACAUUUCUUCUGCUUCUGUGAUUAAGUCAUUACCCAGCAGCUGACGUUCACCGGUUUCAGACCAGUUGAGAGGGGUACGGCACUUCCUGCCAUAUAGAAUUUCAAAGGGGGCCUUGCCCGAACUUGCUUGAAAGCUGUUGUUGUAAGAGAAUUCAGCAUAAGGAAGACAAUCUUCCCACUUCAUGCCGAAAGAAAUCACACAAGCCCUGAGCAUAUCUUCAAGAAUCUGAUUGACACGCUCGACUUGACCGCUCGUUUGAGGAUGGAAAGCUGUGCUGAAGCGGAUGUUGGUGCCCAUGGCCUUCUGAAAAGAAUCCCAAAACUUGGAGGUAAAGAUGCUGCCACGGUCUGAAGAUAUCACUUGAGGAAUACCGUGCAGAGAGACAAUGCGAGAGGUAUAGAGUUCCGCCAAUUGAGCUGCAGUGAUCGACUCUUUGAUAGGCAGAAAGUGAGCCACUUUGGUGAGCUUGUCGACGGCAACAAAUAUAGCAUCAUUGCCACGCUUGGACUUUGGAAACCCAGUCACGAAGUCCAUUUCAAUGUGGUCAAACUUCCAUUCUGGAAUGGCAAGAGGUUGGAGGAGACCUGCUGGCCUUUGGUGUUCUGCCUUCACUCUUCUGCAGACAUCACACUCGUUCACGAAUUGAGCGAUCUCGCGCUUCAUUCGAGUCCACCAAUAAGUUUGCUUGAGGUCCUGAUACAUCUUCGUACUACCAGGGUGGAUGGAGAGGAGAGAGUUGUGAGCCUCGUUCAUGAUCACCUUACGAAGUUCACCUUUGGGCACAACAAUUCGAUCCUCGAAGAAGAGAGUGUCCUUGUCAUCAAGUCGGUAGCACUUGUACUUGGACUAACUCUUUGCAACAUCAAUCUUCACCUUCUUCACCAUAGCAUCAAGAAGUUGGGCUUGGUGAAUCUUGUCUUCUAAGGUAGGAGAGACUUGAAGGUUGGCGAGGAAACCUUGAGGAACAACUUGCAGAUUAAGUUUGCGGAAAGCUUCACAAAGCUCGGGUUGAUAAGGCUUGAGAAUCAGACUGUUGCAAUAUGCUUUUCUGCUCAAAGCGUCAGCAAUCACAUUAGCCUUGCCUGGAGUAUACUCGAUACUCGGAUUGUACUCUUGAAUCAUUUCGACCCAUCGAGUCUGCCUGAGGUUGAGAUUAGGCUGAGUGAAGAUGUACUUGAGACUCUUGUGAUCAGUGAAAAUAUCCACUUUCCUUCCCAAUAGAAGAUGUCUUCAAGUCAACAAAGCAUGCACAACUGCCGCCAACUCGAGAUCAUGAGUGGGGUAGUUCUUCUCAUUAGGUUUCAACUGGCGAGAGGUAUAAGCAACAACUUUCUUCUCUUGCAUCAGUACAGCACCGAGACCUUGGAGAGAGGCAUCACAAAAGACCUCGUACGGUUUGGUUUCAUCAGGCGGAGUCAGAACUGGAGCAGUGAUCAAUUUCUCUUUCAAAGUGUUGAAAGCCAUAUCACACUCCGGAGACCAAACGUACUUGACGUGCUUCUGAAGAAGAUUUGAGAGAGGCUUGGCGAUCUUAGAAAAGUUUUCAACGAAUCUUCUGCAAUAGCUUGCGAGACCGAGGAAACUGCGAAGUUGCUUCACGUUCUGAGGAGGUUCCCAAUUCACAAUUGCAGACACCUUCUCAGGAUUCACGGAAAUACCCUUGGCAGAGAUGAUAUGACCAAGAUAAAGAACCUCAUCGAGCCAAAAUUCACACUUGGAGAACUUGGCGUAGAACUGAUGUUCUCUGAGCUUGUCAAGAACCAAACGCAAGUGCUUGGCAUGAUCUUCCUUGUUCUUCGAGAAAACCAGAAUGUCGUCGAGAUAGACCAAAACGAAUUCAUUGGUGUAGGGGUUGAAGAUGAAGUUCAUCAUGCGAGAGAAUGUCGGAGGAGCGUUGGCGAGGCCAAAAGACAUGACGGUGUAUUCAUAUGAACCAAAGCUUGUUCUGAACGCCGUCUUGGGAAUAUCUUGCUCACGAAUACGAAUCUGAUGAUAACCCAUACGGAGAUCAAGCUUGGAGAAUACUUGAGCACCCUUGAGUUGUUCGAACAGCUCAUUGAUGUUGGGAAGUGGGUAUUUGUUCUUUAUGGUCUUCUUGUUUACUGGACGGUAAUCAACACAAAGUCGACUCGAUCCAUCCUUCUUCUUCACAAAAAGAACACCACAACCCCACGGAGAAGUACUAGGCCGAAUGAGACCCAAUCUUUCUUGCUCAUCGAGUUGUUUCUUCAGCUCCUUCAACUCUUCAGGUCCGAGCUUGUAAGGACGUUUGCACACAGGUUCCGUGCCAGGCUCAAGUUCAAUAACGAAUUCAACUGGCCGGUGCGGAGGCAUUCCUGGGAGCUCUUCUGGAAAGACGUCUUGAUACUCACAAACAACCGGAAUCUGCGAAAUAGCAUCCAAUUCACCCUUCUCAUUGAGAGAAAACAACCGGAUGGUAUUAUCCCGAGCGGCAAAGACAAUAACAUCCUCAGACGAAUGAGUCAGUUGAAUCUGCCUGGCUGCACAAUCAAGCUGAGCUCUAUGCUUAGAGAGCCAGUCCAUCCCGAGAAUAAGAUCGAUAUCCGAGUUGCCAAGAACCGUAGGAGAAGCCAAGAACUUGUAGUCACCGAAAGUGAUAGAAACAUCCGGAACGAUGGAGUUAGCCUGCAUGCGCUUACCGGGAGAGACAACUUCUAAAGGACUAGAUAAAACUUGUGAGACCAAUUCAUGCCUAUUUGUAAACGGUCUCGAGAUGAAGCAAUGUGAUGCACCAGUGUCAAAAAGAACUUUUGCAGGAAUAUCAUUAACAGGAAGGUUACCCAUGAUCACAUCUGACGAGUCCUCUGCCUGAGCUGCAUUCAUCAAGUUGACCUUGGCGGACUUGGGGUUAUGCUUGACCACAGCUGUACUUGCCGAUCUGACAGGAGGAGGAGGAGGAAGACGCCU
rnacentral:lncRNA from 1 species